AUUUAACUAAGUUUGCGUAGAGUUGUAUUCCUCAAUAAUAGGGACAAAACAUAGUUGUUGGUUUAGCAUGAUAAUGAUAUAAAUAUGACAUUAUAGAGUAUUCGUUGAUUGUGUGAUCAUAUCUAUACUAGAGCAUUGAUCAUAUCUAUACUAGAGCAUUCCUGUGAAGUGCAAGUUUAAAGUGCCUAUCAAACUGGUAUGGUUUCGUUAUUCUAGUUACCCUGAAACUGAAAGAAUGGCUUUUAGUAAUCAUCUUUGUCAAGUGCAGAUGGAAGCCUUAUCCAGAACCGAACUGUUUCCAAAAGUAGUUGAAGUGUAUUCACGGCCAACAAGAAUCAUCCGUGGCAAGGAUAUCAAUAAUAAUUUGGAGGUAAAGCACAUGUUUAAAAUUUUAUGUUUAUUUUUUAAAUAUAUUUCAAUCAAUUAGAUGUGCUUGUUUUUUUAAAACCUGUUGUUCAAUAUAUUCUGUUCAAUAAUUGCUAACUUGGGUAUGUAUGGUACCGUCUAGUUCUAACCUGUGCAAAAACUUCCAAUCUACAGAAAAUAGUAUCUAGUUGAAAAUACAUUCUUUAAUGAUCAUUUUAUGGUUGUUGUAACCAAUGUUCUACAUUAGCCACCAUCAGGCCACCAUGGCAGAUUUGCAGUCUUGGUGCCACGCUUUCUAGAUAAAAGCUCUCCAUGGUGGAUUGGAGGCUGGCAGCCAUGGCGGCCGCCAUAUAGCAAUAAAUAAACGGUCGCUUUGUGCUAAAGGAUGGAAAGUCCGUUUCUAAAUGGGUUUUAAAACCCCAAGCCGGUAACGUUUUCUAAAUGGGUUUUAAAACAUGGGUUCCAACACCUCAGAAAAGAGAUCGCUAAACCUAUGUAUCAUAGACACUUCUGUAAGCCUCGCAUGUCUGUGUCGGACAAGUGCGUGUCCGUGUCGACUCGUGUUCGAUGUGGACACGCCAUGGACGCACGUUCGAUGCGGGUUCAUAGCGCAUCUCAUAGAAGAAAUAUAUAUUUUUUAUUUUACUUUCUUUUAUGCAUAUAUAAUGAAAGAUGAUAAAUAUUUUAGCUUUUUGAUAAAUGCAUAUUAUUAUUUUUGGAUAAUAAAUUAUGUAUGGUAGAGAAUUUUUUUCUUAAGAUAUAUGAACUAGCAAUAAAAAUUUUAUUAAUUUUUCUUAGCGGUGUCCCUUGCCAUGUUCGAGUCGUGUCGUGUCCCGUGUCUUGUAUCUUUGUUCAUGACGCCUAGGGCUCGUUUGUUUGCAUGGAAGUGGGGUGAAAGUGGGAGGGUGGAAGUGAUUUUCGAUAAAAACUGACUACUUCCGUUGUUUGGUUCACCGUAAAAAAGUUACGGUCGAAACUCCAGUUAACCUGAAACGGCCCAUCGGCCGAAGUCAAUUACGGUGAACGGAGGUGAAGAAAAAAUAAUAAAAUAAUAUACUAGGUAAAGAUAGUUAUAUUUAAAUAUAUUUAAUUAUGGUACUAAUUAUUCUUUUAUUCAUUUGGCAUAUAUAAAAUAUGAUAAAAUUUGAUUAGUUAAGUUUUAAUAUUUUUUACUUAGUUUGUAUAAUUAAAAUAUAAUAAAAAUUGAUUAAUUAAGUAUUAAUAUUUUUUAACUUUAUAAUUUUAUUGUUGUGUUACUAUAAUUUUGUCUGCCGCGAACGAACCGGCCCCGCCGUAGGGUGUUUCUAAGGUGAGUGGUCAUUCAUGGUAGAGGUUGAAUUUGUUUAUGUUUUAUUUUGAAAUCAGGAUUAUAGGUUCAUGGCUUCCAACGGACUCAAGAAUCUGUUGUUAAUUACCCCACACUUUCGGUGUUAAGAAACCCUCGAUUAAGAUUGUGUUGCUACUGCAGUGAAAAAUAUGAGCUCCCAGACAAGGACGAUAAUAGAUAUGCUCCGCUCUCAAGUAGGCGAGAGCUCAAAGAAAACUCGAAACGAGACUUGUAGGGCAGUCGACAUCAAUACUGAUUCGGAGAAUGAUGAAAAAGAUGCCCUACAAAUAAAAUUAAGAUAUGGAAAAGUGCUACCAGAAAGGCAAGAGCCAGUUCAAAAGGAGAGAAAUAGAGAAGCUCUAGUCAACAAAGAACUUCCAACUUCUUCAAAUCAAGCAAAGCUGACAAGAAUAGAGUAUAAUGUACUCUCUCAUUUACGAAAAGUACCAGCACUUCUGAGUGUUUAUGACGCCCUCAUGAUGUCUAAAGAACUCAGAGAAGUGUUGAUCUAUGCUCUCCAAAAUCCUGAGCCCUUCCAUGCAUAUUUCACCGAAACAAGCAUGAAGGAGGCGUUAUACCUCGUCCACACCGCCAAUAUCACCUUUACAGAAAAGGAUUUAUUAAUGGGGACAACACAUCAUAAUCGACCGUUAUAUGUGACCGGCACAAGUGACGGAGAAAAGAUGAACCGCAUUUUAAUUGACCCUGGAUCUUCUGUGAACUUAAUGACUUUAAGAACCCUAAAGAGUCUGGCAAUGGAUGUCGGCUAUUUAAACUCAGAAAAAGUCGUAAUUCAAGGGUUCAACCAACACAGUCAAAAGGCCCUCGGAUCUAUUACCCUCCCGAUAAGAUUUGGAAAGUUGCAAACUGAGGCAAAAUUUUAUGUUAUCAAUGCAGAUACUUCCUAUAAGGCAUUGUUAGGAAGGCCUUGGUUGCAUAAAUAUCACAUAGUUCCGUCUACCCUUCAUCAGUGCCUGAAAUAUAUAAAAGAUGGGGAGGAAUAUAGAAUUGAUGGCGAUAUUCGACCAUUUGGAGUUCACGAAAUUCGAUAUGAAGAUGCAAAAUAUUUUAUAGAAUCAGAAGACAUGGAAGAAAAUCAUAGCAUAUCGAGGGAACAAUCCUCUAAAAAGAAGAAACUUGCAGAUAAAAUUAAGAGGGAAUCAACAGUGCCGCAUUUUGGAAGCGACUCAGAUAGCUUCGAUCUCGAUGAAGAUGAGUUAUGUUGGGCUAUGAAGCUUCUUUCAAACAAUUGGAAUACCCUCGAAGUUGAAAACUCGUCAGAAGACGAACAUCACUUUACAGCUUAUGUCAGGGCUGAUAGAAUAAUUGCAAAAGCCUCUGACCUGGUGGAAGAUACAUUGACAAUUCUCAAGGUUCCUGAAGAAUGCCACAGACUUAUUCCUGCAAGACAGGUUUCUGUUGUAGACCAUUUAAAAACCUUCUUUGUCCCACCAAAGAUAGAAGAUGUUGAAGGAAGGAGAACAGUAAAAAGAGGAAUUCUUUUUUAUAAAUCAGACAAUCAAAAAUCUACUGAUGUUAUUAGAUCGGAGGAUUAUGAUGAUGAUAUAUACGAGGAUAUAGAAAUUCCAAAUUAUUUUUCAGCUAGCUUAAAAAGGAUGAUACACAAGUUAGGUUGCCCCACAAAGAGGUCCUGGGCCAAUCACAAAUUCUUCCAACGAAUGUAGAAUCCACCGCAAAGAAGAUCCAUACUCCCAAAUGGCAAAUCUAGCAAUACCAGAGGCUUAGGAUAUUACAGAAGUUCCGCUUAUCAAGAUAUCUAUACCUGUAAUAUGAUCAAUGCAAAUGAGGAUAUCGCUGAACAUUUGGUCGAUGAACAAAAAUCUCUUGAACCAAAAGAUGCACCUCAAGAGCUUGAAGAUGGGGCACAAGCAACUGUAGAUGAACUUCUCGAGAUAAAUUUGGGAACGGAAGAAGAUCCCAAACCCACUUAUAUAAGUGCAUUGCUUCCAGAAGAAGAAUAAGAGAAGCUAAAGGCAUUGCUAACAGAAUUUAAAGAUUGCUUCGCGUGGAGCUAUAAAGAAAUGCCAGGCCUUAAUCCAGAAGUGGCUGUUCACAAGCUAGCUAUAGACACUCAAGCUCAUCCAGUCAAACAAGCUCCUAGAAGGAUGAGGGUGGAUCUGGAAGAGCAAAUAAUUGUGGAAACCAAAAAGCUCAUUGAGGCAGGCUUUAUAAGGGAAGAGAAAUAUGCUAACUGGAUCGCUAGUAUUGUCCCGGUCAAGAAGAAGAAUGGCCAAAUUUGUAUAUUUGGACCCUAAGUAUAUGGGUUAGGACUAGUCGAGCACGGUUUGACUUCCACUCUAGGUAUAUGUGCUAGAGCAAAAGACUGACUAGACCCUAAGUAUAUGUAUUAGGGUUAGUCGAACAUGGCUUGACUUCGACUCUAGGUAUAUAUGCUAGAACAAAAGGCUGACUAGACCCUAAGUAUAUGGGUUAGGGUUAGUCGACCAUGGUUUGACUUCCACUCUAGGUAUAUGUGCUAGAGCGAAAGGCUGACUAGACCUUAGGUAUAUGUGCUAGGGCUAGUAUAUAUGUUAGAGUUCGAAUAAACUUGAUAUCACUUAACUGAAUUCUAAGUAUAUGACUUAGAACUCUGUCGAUUUGGAGAUGUUUUGCCUUAGUUAUAUGUGCUAAGCCAAUUGACUUAGCCCUAAGUAUAUGUAUUAGGGGUAGUCGAUAUUUAAUUUUUACUCUAGGUAUAUGUGCCAGAGUAAAAAAAAAGUUCACGAUGAGAUUUGGGUAUUGGUUCAUGAGAUUUGAGUAUUGGCUCAUGAGAUUUGGUUCAUGAACUUUGAUAUGGUUCAUGGGUUUGGUGUAUGAAUUUGGUUCAUGAACUUGGAUAUGGUUCAUGGAUUUGGUGUAUGGAUUUGGUUCAUGAACUUGGAUAUGGUUCAUGGGUUUGGUGUAUUAGUCGCUGCUAGGUCGGCUAUUGAAAUUCUAUCGCUAACUGUAGCGAAUUUCGUUCGAAAAGCAUUCUUCAUUUCAUUCCAAGUUUUGAUUGAGUCAUCUUCGAGAGAAUAAUACCAAUCAAAAGCUAUCCCGGUCAAGCUCUGAGGGAACUGGCGCAACAAUAAUGCACUGUUGCCUCCGGUGUUACCACACGUGGCUUUGAAAUGUGCCAAAUGUUGGUCCGAAUUGCCCACUCCAUUAAACUGUUUGAAUUUGGGGAUAACAUACCCUAAAGGGAAGAGUAUAUCAUCAUAUUCCACGGGAUACGGAUGCCCCCUUCCUUUCUGUUUGUGUAUUGACCCUGCCAUUGACUUUUUUAAUUGAAGAGCAAUGAGUUCUGAUAUUUCAUCUCUGGUCAUGUUGUGAGUAUCUUUCUGGAUGCGAGGUGUUGUAGCCAACUGAUUCGUCCGAUUUUCUUCGGUUGAUGGUGUGGACAAGUUCAAGGUCGGUGGUAUAGCUUGAACUUCAGGAUUGCGUAAUUGCACUCCCAUGUGCGUUUGCAUGUUGCUGAACAUUUCCAAGACUUCGUCUAACUUUCUAUGUAGAUUUGAUAUGUCCUUGUCCUUUUCCUCCAGCUUCUUUCUCAUUGAAUCAAUUAGGAGAUCUUUAGGAUCCCGGGGGAGAAAAGCGGGUUCCUCUUCAUUCUCCUCUAUAUUAAACGGGUCAAGAGGUAAGUCAGUAUUAGGAUGUUGGGGUAAGUCCGUGUUGGGGUGUUCUCCUAUCCCUUGAGAAGAACCGCCCCUUCUUGUUUCAGGGGCCUUCUUCCCUUUGCGCAGGAGAGCAGCUCUUGUAGCUAUCUCCCUCAGCGUUGGAUUACCAUCAUCAUUAUCUUCUUCUGUAUGAUUGACCAUCCUUACUGUAUGGAUAGUCAACCUUUUGGAGCUUCCUCUUUGUUUCUCCGGAUUAUCAGAGAGAGAGAGAGAGAGAGAGAGAGAGAGUGAGAGAGAGAGAGAGAGAGAGGAGAGUAUAAGCUCUCCUUUUUUUUGUUUCUCACCUUUUUUUUUCUUUCUUCUGUUCUUUUUUUUUCUUCCUGCUUUUGGUUCUCUUUUUUGGAUCUCCCCCUUUUUUAUUCAGAGGCCUCCUUAUAUUAAGCCUCUAAUGGCUUGUGUUUUUUUUAGAAACUAUUCAAAUUUUUUUUUGAAAAGGAAUGGUACCUUGAUUAAGGUAUGAAAUUUUUUUCUUUUUGUUUUUUUAGUAUCUUUUCUUCCCUUUCUUUUUUUUGAAGUGGGAUAUUUUUUUCAAAUUUUACAUUUUUUCCUCUUUUUUUCUCUUUCCUUUUUUUUAUUUUUUUUAUUUCAUUUUUUUUUAUUCAAACAAAUUUAUGUAUAAAAAAAUAAUUUAGCUGUUUUAAUUAAAUUAAUUACAUAAAAGUAUAAUUAUAUUAUUUUUAUUUAUUAAAUUAUUUAUUAUUUAUAUAUAAAUUAUAUUUUACAUCAUACAUUUCCUACCAAACAAACAGCAGAACUAAUAACUUCAUUUCCAUAACUACAAAACAAACAGCGGAGAAGUAGUUUUCAUCGAACUCCACUUCAACCCAAAGUUCGGUUUCGAUGAAACAAACAUUCCCGUAGCUAGGGAUGCAAACGGAUCCGGGUUGGUGGAGCUCCCGCCCCGAUCCGUCCCGACGGGGACAGUAAAUGGGAGAAAUAAACGGAUUCGGGGCAAGAAAUGGGAGAAAUUUUGACCCGCCUCGAAUCCGCCCCGCCAUGAUCCGCCCCGAAUCCGCCCCGAAAAUCAUUUAUAUUUAAAAAAUAUAUUCUUAAAAAAUAAUGUAUUUAUAAAAAAAAGUUCAAAAUGCAAAUAAAUUAGUACUCUCAUUUCUAAUGUAUUUGAAAUUUUUAAAUUUUGUUUUGAAUUGUGAUUGAUAUUUUUUAUUUUUAUAAUUAAUAUUGUUAAAUUAUAUAUAUAAUAUUAUUAAAAAUUAUUAAUUUAUAAUUUAUAAAAUAUUAAUAAUAUUAUAAUUUUAUAAAAAAAUAUUAGUUGGGGGGGCGGAUUCGAGGUGCCGGCGGGAGGUGGGUUACGAGGCGGAUUAUGGGAUGUAUUUUUAACCCGUCACGAAUUCGGGUCGGGAGGCGGGGCGGGAUUUUACUAGUCGGGGCGGGAGGCGGGGCGGGGCUCGUGCCCGCAGAUCCGCCCCGUUUGCAUCCCUACCCGUAGCGCUGAGUCCUAGCAUUGAGCUAACUACCACCUCCUCUUAUUCUUUGCUGAAGAAGACAUUGCACCGAGCCUACAACCUUCUAUUAUUGUUGUUUUAGACCUUGUGUUUCCUUAUUCUACAUUUAUCUACUUGAUUUAGUAAAUUAGAAAUUAAUUAGUAAUAUAUAGUAUUAAAAAUUCAAGUUUGUCAUGGGGACGUAGCGCCCAUCAUGUUGCCCACUAUCCACUAUUUGUCAUAAAGACCCCUAACAGCGACAUGCCUGCCUGAUGCCACGCACCAUUUAGAACAUUGGUUGUACCUCAUAACGAUACAUUAAACUUGCUCUAAAGCUUUCUUGCAUCUAAUUCCUUGGGGUUUGGGACUGGUUGCAACAGAGAAAACUGAGAAUGUAAAAUCAGAUAUUAGGUGACAGAUAUUUCGAUUAGUGGAUUAAAGGACAUUAUGAAAAUUUAAGUAUUCAAAAAGUUUAUUUCAAUCACAUGUUGUAUCACUGUAGGAAACUUGGCUCUGAUACAAUGGCAAAUCAGAUAUCAGGCAACAAAUGUCUUGAUUAGUGAAUUAAAGGACACCAUGAAAGUUUUAGUAUCUAAAGAGUUCACUUCAAUCUCAUGUUGUAUCAGAGUAGGAAACUUGGCUCUGAUACCAAGUUGAUGCAGCCUUCCAGACAUGCUGGGUAGGAUUUAGGUUACGAUCUUAACAAAGUUUCUAUUCAGAAGAGAAAUCAAGACUUCAUGCACUGGCUAAUAUAUAACCAAACCCUAGCCAACAUGUAGGCUGGAAAACAUUUUUGGGUUGCAUCAUUCCAGAUUGCAAUAGCUUUAGGUAUUAGAUGAUUACAGUUUCUGAUCUUUCAGUUUAGGUCAUUUUGACUUCAAGGUUGCCUAGGGUUUUAGGUCACUGGAAUUCAGUCUGCUGUGUUCGGAUUAUCUUGGGUUUCAGACAAUCAGACUAUUAGGUAGUCAAGUUUAAAUCAUUUGGAUUCCUGGUGGUUUUAGAAUUGACUAUGAUGGAUUGAUUUUUUUAGUUCCAGCUCUUUUUGAUAUAUAAUUUGUUCUUUGACUUUUCUGCUGGGUUUGAAUAGAUUGAUAGCUGAGAGUUAAUAAUUGCUGAAAAAUUCUUGCAAACCCUCUAUUAUGAAUUAUUGGUUUUUCUAAAAAAGGAAUUUCUGAAAGCUUGUCUUUCAAUAGUAUUAUCUGUUGAGUACUAACUAUAUGAUGAUGUUUCUCUAUGAAAUAUCAUCUAUAUAUUUAUAUUUGUUGUGUAUUACCUAAAUUCAUUGAUAUUUUGUGUACAUUUCUGUAUGAAAUAUCGUCUAUUAAUCAUUUUUUUAAGAGGUUAUGCAAUUAGAACCAAAUCAUUCUUGAAAUUUAUAAAUUUCUCUAUAGUAGCACUGCCGCCAGCUAACAAGCUAACAACCGGCCCUCCUUACCCCAUUAGGAUCAUUGUAGGGGCCAUUUCCCUCUCUCCCAUUCAUUGGCCACCCUCCAUCUAUUUAUGAAUACCCAACGACCUUACCUGCACCCUACCUGCACACCAAGGAUUUAAGUGCCGUGGCACGGGGUCGUGCCGAAAACUUGCCCGCACGGUGUGUGCCAAGUCGUGCCGAUGCGCGCUGAUUAAAAAAAUUCUUUUGUGCCGACGCAUAAUAGCAUGAAAUAUUUAUUUUCUUCAGCAACAAAAUAUUCUAACUAUUUAUUAUGUCUUUUUAUCACAUCUUUUGAACUUUAUUGAAGAAAUUACUUACUAAUUUAAAGAAUAGAGGGUUUUGAGCUGUGCCAUCGGCACGGAGCCUGUAUCGUGCCGGUAUUUUGUUGGCACGGUGGAUACGGCCCGUGCCGUCGGGCACUUAAAACCUUGCUGCACACAGCGCCUUCUCUCUGUCUCUCUCCCUACCUGUGCACAGCAACUUCUCUCUCUCUCUCUCUCUCUCUCUCUCUCUCUCUCUCGCACACACCUUUGCUCUACACAUCUUCAAGCAUUUGGUGUUUCAUAACAACAAUCUAUUCAUUCAACGUCCGACAUACCAGUCCUUUAUAUUAUUGUUUAACCUAACAGGUAUCUACAAAGUCAAGCCAAAGCAUCAAUAAUAGAUACAAAAAAUGAAAUGUUGUUAUUAGUGAAAUGCUUUUGCCUCUAGCCUCUUUCGAGUUAUUUGGAAGAAAAAGCUGCUCUGUAGGAACUAGUUGACUACUAAUUUUACUAAAAUAAAUUGGUAAGUAAAACAAUUUCGGGAUCUGAUAGAUGCGACUCAGAUCAAGUUUUUUUUUGGUUAUUACCUUCGUGAAAAGCUAUUAUUGAGAGACGAAAAAAAAUACAAACAAAAAUAAUGAAGAAACUCGAUGAGUGAUGUGUUUGCUCUCUCAUGAGUAAUUGAAUAAGAUGACCCAACAAUGUGCAUUGCUGGUUAGUUUGUUCCAUGAUAAGAAUCAUCAUUGCUUGUGCAUCUAAUGUUAAAUAUAGUCUAGUCGCCUCACUGUGUAGUCAAUGGCUAGGUAUCUUCGACAGCAUUUGAGAAAGACGAAGAACAAGCUCUAUGGAGUGCUUACUUGGAAGUUUCUACAAAAAUUCAUCCAGGUAUGCAGUGCGUAGUGUGGCAAACUGAGAAUAUGUAAUUGUUCGAUCUAUCAUUUUUAACUUUUAUGUUCUCUGCCUUAAUAGGUGUUGAUAUUGAAACUUUUGCGCAAACAUCUUUGCUAUUGCUACAACCCCUUGAAGAUUUUUUCAACAAUGUCUUUGUUAUGGCGGUAAGUUCCAGUAUAACUUCUCCUAGUGUUCCUAUCUGGGGAUAACUCAAUUGAGCUGUGAUUUGACUAAAACCUCCACAUGUUUUUUUAUAUAAUUAGCACAUUUUAGGUAGUAAAUUCUUGUAGAAGAUGGCACGUUGUAGGUUAAUACGUGAAAUUUUAACCUAAUACAAUAAUAUCUAAAGCAUGUAUUCUUUAAAGAGCGUUCAAACAGCAUCUUACUGGAACAACUGUUGUACAUAAGGGAGAAAGCAAUCUUCAAUUUGUUCUCUAACUAAUUUGGUUGGGAUGCAGCACAAUAAUCCUACAUUCUCUGUUUGCCAUACAACGAAGAACUUACAUGUGGUAGUUGCGGUAGGACAAACAGCACAAAAACUAAACUGAGGACUGAACUCACCCACAUUGUUAUUUAGAGGGCCCAAAAAGAUCCGGAAGCUCCUUGGAACUUCCAUCCUCUGAUGCUAAAAAUAAAAUAUUGAUGGUACUUCCCAACUCUGGUGCUAUAAAUAAAAUAGUGAUGGGAACCACCACCGAAGAAGCAUCCAGCCUGAUGCUUCUUCGGUGGCAAUUCCCACCAUCAUUUCACAGCAUAGGAGUUGGGGAACUCAAAACAUUUUCAAGUUAUAUGGGCUCUCUAAAAUAUCAAAACGGGUGCAUUUGGCCGCCUCCUUGAACUUUGGUGUUGGUAAUCAUAGUUAUGUAGUACUUUUAAGGCCUAAUUACCUGCACAUGAUAAUCUUUUUCUUAUACUGUCGGGUAAUACUUGUAGUUAUUGUAGUCCAAUAAAAAGUACUGUUACUGGCACUUGGUCUGACUGAUAGCACAGUGAUGGAUUCUCAGUCUAGUUGUAGGUUAUUCUGGGUCUAGUAACUCUGUAAUAUAUAGUAUUUAGUUUAUUUCUAACAAGUAAUAAUACUGUAAUCAUCUGUAAUCUGAAUGUUCCUUAAGUCUCCUUUUUUUUUUUUCUACUGGCAUGCUGUGAUAAUAUCUAUCUGCCCUUAUAUCACCUAAUAAUCUUCUGCAUUUUCCGAUUUCCUAAGAUUUAUGAGCAAUUUAUUUUUGUAAUCUAGCUGUGAAUGUUAGAAUCCUACAUUAAGUGUAUCAGCAUCUACAGAAGCAUAGACAAGACUAUUCGCUAGUCUGCAUCCUGAGGUUGGAUCACAAUGCUUAAUGAGCUUGUAGGCCCAGAAAGCAAAAGCUCCAAAACAUCUACUUAUGUUUUCAGCAAGAAAGCUGCAGCAGUCAGGAACAUGAACAGCUGCUGAAAAUUUUUUGCACAGCUCUACUGAAACAUCACCUGUAGAGAAGCUUUCUAGCCUGGCCAAGCAGGCUCUUGAAAAGCUCUAGAUAUUACCUACUAUUGUUGUCAUAGAGGAGAAUUUAUUCUGCUUGUUUUAGAAUCAAUGGUACUUAUUUUCCUCAAUAGUAACAAAAAGGGAGAUUAUUGUCCAUUUAAGAUCUGAAAAUAAAAACACUCUGUUCAGGAGGACCAAAGUAUCAGAAAUAAUCGGUUGGCGCUUCUUAAGAAGAUUGCGGACUUACCGAAAGGCGUCGCCGACCUCUCAGUUCUACCUGGAUUUUAACACAACCAACAGCGUACUCCAACGCGUAACACAUUCCUUUUUUCUUUUUCUUUUUUGACAUUUGUAAUGAGAGAAUGUUCAAUAGAUGCUAAUUGUAUGAUCGGAGUAUACUAUUUAUUCUCUUGCCCUCGCGGUUACUUUGUGCUCCUUUGGUUAUGGUGAGGACCUUUUUCAAUAUAAAUGUGAUACUCUUACCACAUCGUAUGGAAAUGCGAUUAUAAUUGGGCAUAUAAGAGACCAUGGAUCCUAAUAAUAAUAAUUGGGCUUAAGUAUUUUGGGCCGGUGGUUUGGAUUCAACGAGUUUUUAUUGUUAAUGAGCCGGAUCGUUACAGUAAAUGUAGUGAAAAUUUAUAUAUAUUUUCGCACACUCUACAUAUUAAAAACGAGUACAGUUUUUCCAUAAGAUAUGUUUAUUCUUGUCCAGGAUCUUCAGUCAAUGCUAUGUGAGAUUAUAAGCACUGUUGAAAAACCUACCAUAGGGAUUUGAAGAUCAGAAUAAGUGUUGGAGAUUUAUUUUUAAUGAAUGGAAUAAUGUUUCUCUGGGUUUUUUUUUAUGUUCUGGACAAGUGGAUUUUAGUAGUUGAUUUUCAAAAUAGUAUAAUUUUCUAUACGCAGUCGUUUUGGAUAUAUUGUUUAUUAUGUUUAUUAGAUGCCCAUUUUGCAUAAAAAUCUCACCGGAUUUGCAAACUUGCAAAUUCGGUCUAUGUUUUUGGAUUUUACAGAUUUAAUCUGUUUUUCUAGAAAUUUGAACAAAUUGCCCCUCUACCCCAAAAAAAUAAAAAAUGUAUACAGUAUACAAAUCAAAUAUUUUUUGUACGGCGCAUAUUAGCAUCCCAAGAAAAAAUGUGUAAUGCCGCCUAAUAAUUCUAAUAUGUUUGUUUAUAAUCUGGAGACAUAACUAGAACGUCGGGAUCUAAAUGAGGGGAGUUUGUAACAUUUCAAUAGUUUUACAUAGGAUGAAAAAUGAAUUCUAAUUGAAAAUAUAAGAUUAUGCAUUCUAAUAAUAAUAAUUAGAUUUAAGUAUUUUGGGUUAGUUUUUAGUAGGUCAUGUCGUUACAAAAUAACUAACAACAAAAGAGGUAGACAACCUACUUUUUUUAAGAAUUUGCAUAAAUUGUUAUCUCUAAUGUGAAUCCUGUAGUUUUAUUUGUGCUGUUUUUAUUGUUUCUUGUGUGAAUUUUUUUCUAAAAAAAGUAAAGGUCACGAAAAUAUAAGAACUAAAUAUAGCAAAAAAAGUAUAGAGAUUGUAAUAUCUUCUUAAAUAAUAUAAUAUUUGUAUAAAUUGUGGAAUACAUGUAUAAAUAUUGUUACGUACCUCUUAAUUCUUCGUUCUUUUCUUUUUCUUUUUCAUCUUUGUUCCUUGGGCUUUUUUGGCUUGUAGCCCCUCAACAAAAAAAAAAAAAAUUCAAUAACCUUACAGAAUUUAUAUUUGCAAGAUUGAUUUUAUCCCUAUCACUCAAGUGUCAUAUAAGCGUGACUAGCAGUCCAGGGUUUAAGUUGAACAAGGUGAAUCAGGCCUGGUGGUAGCUAAGGAUUGUGAUGGGUUCUAGCCAGCCCAUGCUUAGCCGGCUCGGUCCUCGAGUCACCUGACCCAUGCCCCCAUGCGACACUGCCCGCACAUCAUGCCCAGCUCACGGCCGGCCACGGCACCACCCGGGAGGGGCCGUCGUGACUAUUGCUUCCGAUCGAGCAAGCACGAUGGGGCGCCUUUUUUCAUAUUUUAUAAUUUUGUGUAAAUAUACUUAAAUUAUUUAAAAAUAUAUUUUUUAAAUUUUGAAAAAAAAAAAUCAUGCUAGACAUAAUUAAAAUAGGUUUUGAGGGGUUUAUAUCAAGUUUAGAUCGAAUUAGAAUCAAUUCGGAUCAAAACAAUACUUCAAAACUUUGAAUUUGAAUUCCAGACUAAUUCGAACAACAAGAGUUUGGGCACCCAGAAUAGAUUUCGGGCCCCUUGCGACGCCCAGAUCUUUUGAACCUUAUCCAGAUAGUUGGAUUUGGGAAAAUCUAGAAUUCAGAUGCCCAGAAUACUUAUGGGCGUUCGAAUGUUGAUUGGGACUCCACCCGCGGGCGCGGAGAUAACAUUCAAACUCUCUAAUCCAGAAGAACUUUCAAAUAGCCCCUGUGGGGACACCCAGAAGAACUUUCAAAUAGCCCAUUGGAAGCGCACCCGAAUGAGUUUCGGAUCCUUUCUCCUGAGAGCGCGAUAAAAUAAGCAUUCGGAUGCCUGAAAGUCCUGCGACGUCCGGAUUGUAAAGUGGGUGGAGUCACUGGGCACUCGAUUCCUGAACUGGGCGCGACUACGAUCGAUUCGGGCGCCCGAAAUCCUGUGCACAUAUUUUGUUUUGUCCGGAUUGUAAAUAAAAAGAAUUGAGCAGCUUAGUGCUAUUGUAGCACCCCUAUAAAAUGGUUCUCACACUAUGAACCCUAACCACAGCCAUUGUUUACUCUCCCUCACUCUCUCUCUCUUCCCUUUUCUUUCUCUAAAAGAGAAGAGGUGUCGUUGCUUCCUCUUCUUGGAGCUUAGGAAUCCAUCUUCUCCAAAACUUAGAAAAGGUGGAGUGCUUCAAGAAGAAGCUUUAGGAGGAAGAAGUAGCUCUUCUCUCCCACGUUUAGAUUACCAGAAAAAGAAGAGAUAGAGUUCGUAUUUUAUUAGGGUUUGGUUUUAGGGUUUUCUCAAAUGGAGAUUUUUAGAAUUCUAACUUCACUAGAACCGUAUUUAGUUUUUCUUAGUGAUUUUAAUAAGAGAUCAAGUCUAGCUAUUGUUGAGGAUCAAGCAAAUGUGGGGAUUAUUAUCAAAAAUUUUUUUUUUUGAUAUCUUUGUUAUCCAAAUCUUUUUUGUAUUAUUAGCAUGUAUUAUUGGUAAUAAAUAAACUAAAUAUGAUAGUUGCAUAUUAGGGAAAUAGAAUUUUCUAACCCAUUGUAUGGUAAAUGACAUUAUGUGUGAUGCAUGUAAAAAAUUUGGAAACCUUGCAUAUCGGUUAAACAAGUGGUAUUUAAAUUUAGGUCAAAACUUAAGGUGAAAUAUAGUAAUGACAUGUGAACUCUAGGCUGUGUGUAAAUUAGAGAACCAGGAUGAACAUGGUUAAAACCUUAGAAGUCAUGAACUUAGAGUGUAAUGGUAAAAUAUGUGCGGUCUUCAAAAAGUAUUAAAAAAUAAAUGGAGGUGUGGAGCGAUUGACUCCCUAUGAGGUACUUGGAGAGUCCGAAACCAACAGACUCCAUUUACCUACCGAUUGGAAAUGUGCGAGUGAUCGACUCUCCACGAAGUGUUGCAAAUAAAGAAACUAAACCACCAAGUUAGUUAAAACAAAUGGAUGCUUGAAAGGCAUGAGAUGGUUAGAGGCAUGCAAUAAUUUGGGUAAAUAUGUAACCAAUGAUAUAGUAACAUCUUGUAUACUUCAGACAUUCUAGUUGCAUUUUUAUUAUUGCAUUUCUAUUAUAGAGAUAUUUGUUAUAAUUAUUGUUUGUCUAUUAAUAUUUUUCUUGGACUGAGUGAGUGUAAAGUAUUACUUUUUAUAGUUGCACCCACUGAAAACUCACUGUUGUUCUCAUUUCUUUAUUGUUUGUCUUUUUUUUUUUUCAAAGGCUAUGGUUGUGGUGAGGUGCGUGUAGGGGUGUAAUGUUGGCAGUGCCGAGCCGGCAGGGCCCACAUUAGCCGACUGGAAACGGGCCGCAGGGCAACCCGGCCCGGCCCAUCGUCAAAUCCGGGCCGGACUGUACCAGGCCAAAGCUAACCAGUUCUCGGCCCAGCACGGCCCUCUGGCCUAGAAGUCACAGGCUGUGCUCCGGGCCGGCCCUUUAAAUUUUUUUAUUUUUAAAAAAAUAUGUUUAAUUUAAAAAUAACAAUAAUAAAUUAUUUGUAUUUAAACUAGUAUUUUGAUUAAAAAAUUUUAAAAUUUAUAGAAAUAACUAUAAAAUAAUUUUAAAUUUUUAAAAAAUAUAUGAAUUUUUAUUAUUAUUUAAAAAAAAAGCUUUUGGUCCAACAGACUAAAAGUCUUUAGUCCAUUGGGCUAAGAAUCACCUCUCACAAGGUCUGGCUCUUGGCUCGGACCCCAUUGGGCCUUGGGAUUCGGACCGUGUUGGCUCUUCUGGCAUGGCCCAAACAGGCCGUGCCGUGUCGGGCUGCCCGUCUUUCUUCAGCCCGGCACGGCCCAGGCAUGGUUCGGGCCAUGCCAUGCCAGCCCGUCGGGCCCAAGGGGGAGCGGCCUAGCACGGCCCAAAAGCUCGGGCCGAACCAGGCCGGGUGCUGCAGCUCGGCCCGAAGCCAUGCCUGGCCGGGUGGCCCACGUGUUGCCUGACCCGUUUUACACCCCUAGGUGCCUGGUUGGCGUAAAGGUGUCGCAUAAUAGUGAAUCUAGAGAGGUCUAAAUAAUACCUCUUUUUAUAGCCAGAAAAGAUGCUUAUAAUAUUUUGGCACCCUUCGUGGAAUAGUUGAACACUUAAUUUCAAUUGAAAUGUUUUUACUAAUGUGGUUACAUUAAACAAUCUUAAGCAGUCAAACUAAAUGCAAACCUUGUUGUUGUUCUUGGCACUCUUUGUGGUUUUGACCAUUUUAUAAUUUUGGUUGUUGAUAACAUUGUGGAGGAUAACGACAAUAUAGAGAAACUAUAACAAUGUCUAUAUUAUUACUCAGCGCAUCGCUUCGGUUUCUUAACUAGUAAUUGAUGAUGACACAAAAAUUAUCAUUUCUCCACGUGAAUUCAGUGAGGAAGACGAGACCGACGUGCUUGGGUUAAUGUCAUUGUAUUUUUAAGAUUUAAUUUGUNGAGCUUUUGGCAAUUAUGAGGGCUCAUUAUGAGGGCUCAUUAUGUAGGCAAUAGUGGGUGAGUUAUGUGGCUAGUGGGUGAGUUGAAAAGGCUCAUUAGGUCUAUAAGUAGUGGGGUUUGGUUAAGGUCAAAACACACAAGAGAGAGUGUGUGUAUGUGUGGGUUGUAAUCUCUUUUCUAAGUAGUGUAGUACUUAGUUUUUUGAGUGAACUUCUGCCUCUCUCUCUUUGUCAUUCCCUUUGCAUAUUUAGUCGUAGGACGCGAAGGUCCAGACUAGCAACAGGGGCGAAGGCUUGCCCAUCUUCGAGCAGGAAGGCGGGCGCCGCACGGACUUUGUGAACAGAAUUGCUAAGGCCGUGACAAGCUGCUGGCUUUAAAUGGCAGUUUAUAUAUUGAAGAUGCACAAUCUUUGCAAAUUUGAAACCACCUGUAAAUGGGAUUUUGACACACGUAAUCGAAUCCUAAUAGAAAUGGGAUAAAACCAUUCAUAUAUAUAUAUAUAUAUAUAUAGAAGACAACCAAGGAAAACCGAAUAGCGAAAAUAAAUAUAUUUUGCUCAGACUCCCCCCGAUCAUCGAACAUCAUUAGAUUGGCGCCGAAUCCUGGGCACUUAGUACUGGGGAUUGAGUUUCAACCGACAUGUAUACCGAAAGUAUUCUUAGCCAAAAUAAGAGGAACUGGUUGCCUAGGGGAAAGGCCAUCCAAAGUCCCCCUUCUACCAGUGAAGAAGCAGAUCAAUUGGUUGGCUAUGAAGCAGGUCACACAAAGCACCUUCAGGACCAGUGGAGAAGUAGGACACCCGAAAUGAUUCUAUCAUCAAGCAAGAAGGCCCGGCGCGUCCUCAACUAUCGCAAAUAAUUCACAUUCAAGGGGAAGGUCAUCAUAGCAUAGGACAAAAAGGAGUAAAGAGAAACUCUGAAAAAUAGAAGGACUGGACUAAAAGUGAGGAAAGCAAAGUACCCCAAAAGCAACAAAACAUCAUCGAAAACCACGCCGACCUGAACUCAACAUAUGUAGGACUAAAUCAAAAUAUGCCGCAUUAAGAAUUCAACAAAUUGAAUUCUGAAACACCCAGCCAAAAUCUGAAUAUAAUAUGAUGAAUUCAACAUAUUGCCUAGCUAAAUUGAGCUGAAUCCAGAAUUCCCGAUGUAAUUUUGAAUUGUGUUGAUGUAUUCUGCAUGCAAUACAGUGUCCAAGCUUAUAUUGGAGACCGUCAACCAAACAAUGCCAGCAGUAAGACGUUCUAUUGUGAAUGAUAGUAAGCCAAAGCAUAAAAGUCAGAAACUAAAAUUAUUUAAUUUCACAUUGCAAAUUUGAGCAAAUUAAAGAGGGUAAAGCGGAAACCAAAAUCAACCGAAAAGACCAGGUUGCCAGUUCUUUUUCUCGGAUGACGGCUAGGAGCAUACUGACAUUCAAUAUUCCACAAACUAAAUUUCGCCAAUAGUCUUCUAGAAUUCAGAUUCAUGAAUCCCAACCGGCUGUGUACAAAGUAUGUCAGCGAAAAUGCCCCAAUGACUAACCAAAAAGGCCCGGGCCGAUGUUAUUCAUCGUAAACAUUCAACAUUCAAGUUAUUUCAUGGACAAACUUGUAGUGGAUAAACAGAUAUAGAAGAACUUAGAAAACUUUUGCUGAAUCCUGCAUAGUGUUAAAUUCCUAAUUAGGAACUAAGGCCAUGAAUUUAAAUCCUUUAAGGAAAUUAGCCCAUAAAUUUCAGGAAAAAAAAUUUUGAAACUUCAAGGUCAGUGGUAGAAAUAGUUUACACUUAAAACCAUAUGAUGUAAACAUAGAAUACAAAGAACAUGCCUGGUUACUCUUUACAAAUGUUGAGGUGGAGCAAGCAAAUUAAAGCUAUUGCAAACUCCAUGCAGGUUGAAAAGAGCUUGAAACUUUUAGAGGACAAAGGAAUACAUAAAACCAAACAGAGGGAUCCCAAAGCACAUGUCAUAUUUUAAGCCCAAAAGUACGCAUAAACUUAAGCUACAAAGCAAGGAUUUAAGUGCCGUGGCAUGGGGUCGUGCCGCAAACUUGCCGGCAUGGUACGGCACGGUGCGUGCCGAGCUGUGCCGAUGCGUGCCGGUCAAAAAAAUUCUCAUGUGCCGACACAUAAUAGCAUGAAAUAUUUAUUUUCUUUAGCAACAAAAUAUUCUAACUAUUUAUUAUGUCUUUUUAUCACAUCUUUUGAACUUUAUUGAGGAAAUUACUUACUAAUUUAAAGAAUAGAGGGUUUUGAGCCGUGCUAUCGGUAUGGGGUCUGUAUCGUGCCUGUAUCUUGUUGGCACGGUGGAUACGGCCCGUGCCGACGGGCACUAAAAACCUUGCUACAAAGUCUAGCUUAUAGUACAUAGCCUAUUUUACAAAUAAGGGAAAAGCAAAGCAUUAUAAGUUAUGGGUAUCAACCCCGGAGUACAAAAAGAGCUGAAGAAACCCUUAGACACCUAAGAAAAACCAAAAGGACACGGAGGAAGGCAGCAGCAGCAAGAAGUAGGUGCAAGCUUGCAGAACAAUAUGAAGACCAAGGGAGAAGCACAGGGCUAAGAAGCCGACCCUGAUUCAGAGGGGUUAGUCGCCAUAGUAGUACGGUCCGCAUGAAGGUGAUCGACGGUCGCACGAUAUUCGUCAAUUGUACGGCGCAUUUUCAGGUGCUCAUCUAUAUACCUCACUUUUUUGGCAACAGAUGAAGCAUAACAAUCCCUAAGAAUACUGUGUUCACGCUUCAAUUUAUUGCACUGCCCAAGGAGGUCAGUAAACUAGGCUGUAACAUUAUCGUACAUACUUUUAUACAUUAUGCAGUCGUCAUAAUUUAUAUCUUUUAUAUGAAGAUCGAGCUUAGCCUUCAUUCGCUCGAUUGCCACAUGGGCUGAAUCAUCCUUUGCCAGAAGAAAAUCAGGGGACGCAGCACCCUAGCAGCGGGCAAUUUCGACAAUUGCCCCAUUGCGCGCAAUAGGAAGGUCUAUAUACGCAACGAACCAGCCUUCAGCACCGGCUGUGGCAACACAAUCAGGGACCCGGAAACCCAACUUCUGAUAGAUUUCCUCAAGUAAUUUAAUAAAAGAGAGCUGAACAAUCGACAUCCUAACAACUGUAGUUAAAAGGGAAAUUGGAGAACGAAGCAAACAAUUUAGAAGUGCGAGGAGAUAAAUUGGGAAAAAUCAGCAUGCACAGGGACCUCAGAAAACACCAAAGUGAUCUCAUUUCCUAAAAACAUUUGUUAAGAAAUUGAUGAAUUAUGUAUAUCAUAAUUUAUAGGGAAUAGACUGGCCCUUUUGUUUUUGAAAAGCAUUUCUUAAGUAUAAAGGAAUGCACACGGACCUUAGUAAACAUCAUAGUGAUCUCAUGCCUUUAAAAAAUUUCGUAUGUUUAUCAUAAUUUAGAGUGAGUAGACUGAGCCAUCACUCACCAAAAAGGACUGAGAGAACAAAAGUUCAGUAACAGGUAAGGGGAGCUGGGCGUCGAAAAGGACAGAGUAGCACACAACCUAGGAGGAAAAAGCCAAAGCAGUGACAUCAGGCAUCCCAAGUUUUGUAUAAAAAAUUUAAUCAAUUCGAUUUCUCAAACCUUGGUCCGGAACAGGACACAGCAGCAGACAACCUAGGAGGGAAAAGGCAAUGCAGUGAUAUCAGGCACCCCAAACACCGUAUAAAAAUUUUUACAAAUUCAAUUGUCCAAACCUUGGGAAUCAAGGCAGCCACCUCAGAGUGCAGCAAGUAUUAUAGGAGGGCCUAACAGAGAACCAAAAGCACAGGGGAUCGACACCUUUCUCUAACAGACGACGGAUAUUAUAGGAGGCCGACGGAAUCUAAAGCAAGAGUUCUAAACGGAGGUAGAGUAUAGGGAACCAAAAGCCUAAACCUUAUAAACAAAGGCAACCAAUCCGUGGCAUCUCUGCAUAUAUGCAUGAAUAUUUAUAGGUCCUUGCUGCAACUAGGGAGCAAGAGGGGGAUAGGGAUGUGGGGGAGUGGGGCAGGCUGCCCUGGGGGCCCAACCGUACCACCACGUGCUAAGAGAGCGAGGAGGAGAGAGCAGGGCGGCGGAGUAGAUCAGAGAGUGGAAGAGCGCCCAUCAUAGGUGAAGGGACACUACGAGCAUGAGGGAACCCACACCCGGCGGUGACUCAGAGGAAGCCCGGGCAGGGGAAGGAAGGGGUAUUAGAUUGUAGAGUAGGGUGUAAUAAUUACAUACCAUAAACCUUAUGGGCAUCAGGUAGCCCAUAUCUAGCGGCGGUGGGGAGAAGGACGACGAUGGCCAUCGCAAAGAGAGGGAAGGCGGGUACGGCGCACGUGCGGAGAAGUGCCACGAUGCCCAUCGCAGAGAGAGGAGUUGGGGCACGGUGCACACCGGCGAAGCUAGGCCUCCUGCCACGCCGUACGCCUGCACGUACGGGGAGAGCGACAACGCCCCGUAUCCUGCGGCCAAGGUUUAAAGUGCCGUGGCACGGGGGCGUGCCGCUACGUCCUUGGCACGGUACGGCACGGGCACGCUUGCGUGCCGACACGUGGCACGCUUGCGUGCCGACAGAUACGCACGACCUCCUACUGGCACGCUUUGGCACGAAUUUAUUUAAGUUUUUUUGGUUCCAGUAAGCUUUUAUAAUGUUAUUUUGAAAGAUUUAGGCAAGUUAUUAUUAAUUUUUGCUAUGUAUAGCUUAUUAUACUCAUCAAUUAACAUGCAUGUAAGCAUUUUGUAUAUAAAGUACAACUAUACCUGAUGUAGAAUAUAAAUUAAAAUUCUUUUGUUUUUAUUUUUUUUUAUUUGAAAAGUACAACUAUACUUGCUGUAACAAUUGAAAAUUCUUUUGUUUUUAAUUUUUUUGUAAUUUAAAAAAUUAUAACAGAUAAAAUGAUAGAAAAUUUUAUUUUUCUUAAUAAAACGUUCUCAAAUCAUGAUAUAUUGAUUCGAUUAGAAAUAUAUAUAUACUAAUAGAACACGAGAAUAGUACCGCAUUACAUUCCAUAUUUUUUUAUUCUUUAAAAAAGUAUCUAAUCAAAAUUUUUAGAAAUCAAAUUUUGUUCCCUGAUUCAUCGAAAACUUGCGGUGCCGACAAAUUUUGACACAAAUAAUUUGACGAAGAAAAAAAUGGAUUAUCAACUAAAAAUUUGCUUUUAUAUGUUUAAAUAAGAAGUUAAAUUAUAAUUUUAAUUUAACAAAGAAAAAAGAAAAAGUCAAAAGAAAAAGCCAAAAGGCAAAAAAAAAAAAAAAAGGCAUCAGCCAAAAAGAAAAAAAAAGUUGACAAAAAGACAACACAAUGUCAAAAAAAUAAAAGAAAAGUGAACAAAAGCAAUAUAGAUGGCGGCGCGAGGCUCUGUAUCCAGAGAACAAAAAAAAAAGAGACAAAACCAAAAAAAAAAAGCCAAAAAAACUAUAAAAAAAAAGCUGGCACGGCGGCACUGCCGCCGGACAUGCACCCUGCCGCUCUGUCUCGAGCGCACGGGGCAUGUCCGAGGCACAUGGGGGGGGUCGAGAACCCCCCUGUGCCGUGCCGCCCUUCUUGGGGCACGCACGCACGCCCCUGCCGCACGCACGGGCUGGCACUGCUAUCCUUGCCUGCGGCAUCUGCGAGGGUUUUGGCUUCGUGAGAGAGGGAUCGGAAAGAGGAUCGGUAGACAGAGUUCGGGAGACACGGGUAGGCGACACGUAGCCCUUCCGAUAACCCACGUUACGCGGACCGUUUUGAAAUGCAUGCUUUUAUAUAUAAAAAAUAGAUAUAUUAUAAUAUAAUAGUAUAGAUAUAGAUAUAGAUAGUAUAGAUAUAUAUAUUAUAUGUAGUUAGAUAUAAUACUAUUUAUAUUAUAUAUAAAAAGUGUAUUUCAAAUUUCAAUCUGACAUAGAUAGAACUAUUUCAAAAUUUCUCUUGUUUGUACGUAAGACUCUUUUUUCACUACCUCUUAAUAUUUUUUUUUAAAUAAUGUAAUGAAAUAAACUUUUAAUUUCUCUUUUUUAUCUAACUGUUCAUAUUUUUUUAUUAAGUAUUUUAAUCAUUUAAUAUCUUUUCUUUUUAAGGUGAAUAAUUAUAGAUUAUCUCUAUUCUAUCUACUAAUAUGUUUUAUUAUAUUAACUUUUAUUGGUUGGAAUCAAUAAUCAAAUUUAAGUUAAAAUUUUAAAUACAUAUUUAAAUUUUAAUAUAUUUUUAUUUUAAAUUUUUAUUUAUCCAAAAUUUAGAGGUGAAAUUGAAUUAUAUAAUUUUAAUUUUAAUUUUAAAAUUUCAAAUUAAAAUUAAUAUUUUAGUUUAAGCCAUGAAUUUAUUUCUUGGCCAAUUUGCAUAAAAAAUCUACUAGUUUUGCGCUUUUGCAAAAAUGGGCCAUUUUUUUGAUUAAAAAAUUAUUAAACUGAAUCUCCAACCCUAAGUUAAUGCUGCGCCUCUCUUCUACCUCAUCCGCACCUUUGCCAACUCCCAUGGUGACGAUGGGGGCUCUGAUAUGGCAAAGAUCGUAAAGGUAAGACUACACUACAACAAAAACGGUAUAUAGCGCCACUUUUAAAUGUCGAUAUAGGUAAAAAAAAGUACUGCUAGGUAAAUUAUCGACACUUAUAAAAAGUGUUGCUGUAGUAUCCCUGGUGUUUGGUUGCCCAUGAGAUUUCAGCAUCUAGGGUUUGUCGACACAUCUGGAGAGCGUCGGGACAAGUCGGAGUCAUUUUGGUGCGAAAUGGACGCAAAACGAACUCGACGCGAGACGAGAAUGGAGUUCUGACGCUGAAAUCCGCAAAGUGCAGGAUUUCAGUGUUGAGUACCGGUACGGUAUCGGGCUGGUACCGAUACCCCAGUGUAAUUCCAGAACAACAUGCUCUCGAAUUGCGUCAAUUUGAUGCUAAGUACCGGUACGGCAUCGAACUGGUACCGAUACCCUGUGUGCGAGCUUGCAGGCUGAGAGGCUGAGUACCGGUAACCAAAUCGGGUACCGGUACUCCAACUGUAAUUUUGAGUUGGUGAAAGGCCUUUUGGUCAUUUAAGGCAUCGUUAAUAUCAACCUUAUCCCUACCUCUUUGUAUGUGUAGAGAGACAGAGGAGGUUUUUGGAUUGCUACUCUCUCUCUCUCUAGUUCUUGAUCAUGUUCGAGGUGGAGGUCACGACUCGAGCUCGAGAGUUUAUCGUCGUUGCGCCGGAGGGUCGUUCGAGCGCGUGGGCGUCGCAGUUGCGCCGUUGGAGGCCAGACGAGCGCGUAAUUUCCUCUCCUUUCGACUUCUCGCCGUGGUUGGACGAGCUUUUCGAGAUGGGUUGAAGUUUACCGAAAUCGUCGAAAUGAUUUCUACUGUGGCCAACGUGUCGCUCCCUCCUUCUCUCCCGCGGUUCCUUCGCCCCCCCGCUCUCGACUCUUUUUCUUUUUUCCUCGGCGCGGGCGGGCGCAGGGCAGGCGGGGCGGGCACAGGCACGGGUCGCGCGCACAUGGUAGCACGGGCAGGCGAGGGCACGCGGCCCACCCUGCCACGUGCGCCGGGCGGCUCUCUCUCUCUCUCUCUCUCUCUCCCCCCUCUCUCUCCACCCCCUGGCUCUCUCUCUCACUCACCCCCGAUUCUUGCCCUCUCUGGAAUCGCAAAGGCUGCAAGGUGCGGACGAUUGUGGCACUAUGCCUCCCGCGCUCCUUUCCCAGCCUCCUUCCCCUGUCUCUUUCCGAUCUGCGAGGAUCUUCUUCUCUACCAGGUGGAGCAAUGGGAGCUCCAAAAAUUGUUCGUUUUGCUGUGCCCCUCAUAUGUUUGAUGAAAUGCUCGGCCUCCCGCGCCCCUCUCCCUGCCUCCUUCCCCUGUCUCUUUCAGAUCUGCGAGGAUCUUCUUCUCUACCAGGUGGAGCAAUAGGAGCUCCAAAAAUUGUUCGUUUUGCGGCGCCCCUCAUAUGUUUGAUGAAAUGCUCACUAGAGUCUUUUAUCCGAUUCUCUGUCCACUAUCAAAUUUUUCUGAUUUUACUAUGCUUGCUCUUGCAAUCUAUUGGUUAAUUGAAAUUUUAUAUUUUGUAUGAUUCUUAUAUAUUCUUUCUUACUGCUUAUUUUAUCAAAAAAAAGUAAAGAACUCUUAUUUGAAAAAGAAUUCUGAUAAUAGGCGAUGAUGAUGAGUUGAAACAUCAGAAUGUAUUCAGAGGUUCAACGCUUGAUUAUAGGUUUCAUACAUUGAUGAUGAAGUUUCAUAAGGUCUCUAUCUUCUCUUUUAAGUGUUUUUCGAAUUCAUAUUACAAGGUUUGGAUGGCGGGGCAGUAUGGAUGGCCACAUGGCAACCACUGUAGCUUCCAAUCCUUUGGAAGAGCUUGAUUUACACUUGAAGAGAAGAGUAGGAACUAUUUUAGUAUGUAAAUUAAUGUUGAAUCUAACUUUCUUUUCCAUGUUGCCUUCUAAUUUUUUUUCCGACUAUUACUUUUUAUUCUUUAGAUUUAUUCUAUUUUACAUAGUUUAGUUUUUUUUGCAUCGGAGGGGUAUGGGAGCUGCAUGCUCGCCAAGGACGACAGGGUUCUCGAUUGGAGGGACUACUUCGACCACCACAUGCUCCCGAUUUCGUCUCCAAUUACAGGUGAGAACAAAAGGUGCCUCCUUUUUCCUCUUCGAACAUUUUGUCUCUGAAUCACAUAUAUUGCAAUACAAUACUUGCCAUAAAAAGAGAUUGUAUAAUUUAUCUUAUAAAAAGGAUCACUUUCUUUGGUUUACAAACAAUAAAAUGUUGUAUUUUAUUUUAAAAAUCACUUCAUCAGGGAGUAAAGUGCAGUGUAUAUAAAUGUUCAGCGACGUCGCGCCCACGCCCGCUCGCACCGCCCGCUGGCACUGGGGAGAGGGGGAGAGAGAGAGAAAGAGAGAGCCGGGGAGAGGAGAGGAAAAGAGAAAGAGGGUGGGGGGGAGAGGGAGAGAGCCAGGGAGGGAGGAAGAGGAAAAGAGGGAGAGAGGGGGAGAGAGACUCUCUCUCUCUCGCACGCGCGCAGGGUGCGGGUCGCGCGGACAUGGCAGGCCNCGCGCCCGCGUCGGGACCCAACCCGCGCGGCGUGGGCCGCCUACGCUGCUCGCACCCCUUGCGCGCGCCUACGCCCACGCCCACGCCCACGCCCACGCCCACGCCCGCGCGGGCUGCGUCCGUGUCGACUCGUGCCCUCACGCGCCGCACGCUCGCCCGCGCCUGCUCUCGUCUGCACGCUUGUGCCCGCGCUUGCCCCCUCUGCGCCCCCGCCCGCUCGCGCUGGGGAGAGAGGAAGAGAGAGGGAGAGAGCCGGGAAGGGGGGGAGAGGGGGGGAGAGAGAGAUCUCUCUCCUUCUCACGCGCGCGUGCGCGAGGGGGUGCGGGUCGCCCGCACAUAGUAGGCCCCUCGCCUCUCUCUCUCUCUUUCUCCUUACCCCUUGGCUCUCUCUCUCUCUCUCCCCCACGUGCAAGCGACCAGCUCCCGGCACUCGCUCGCACCCCUUUCGCGCCCGCACCCGCACCCGCGCCCGCUCGAGAAGAAACGACAGGAGGGGGGGCGCUGAGAAGCGGCCACGUAGGCCACAGUAAAACUCAAGAUUCAUUGUAUCUAUAGAUAGUAUAGUAAAUAUAGUAAGGAAAAAGAGUUAGAUCAAAGAGUAGAGUAGGGGGAUAGAAGAGAAAAGAGGAAAUUGGGGAAAGAAAUGAGGAAGAAGAAGAUUAGAGAGAGAGAGAAGAGGACUGUAUAAAGUGCCGCCACGUGCCAUACAGCACAGGGCAGCAGGUAUCGUGCCCGGGCACGGUACAGAGAGGGUCUCGGACACCCCCCCCCCGGUCGUUUCGGCACUUUUUUUUUUCUUUUUUGCUUUUUUUUUGUUUUUUUCUUUUUGUUUUGCUCUUUGGGGUACCCGAAGCAUCCUGGGUACCCCACACCCCUCCCAAAGACAUUGCAAUUCGAAAAUCUACUUGUUAGGUAAGUCAAAAAAUUAAUAUUUUUUUUUUUAUCAAUAUACAAGUAAAUUUUUAAUUUACAUAUAUAAUCCACCAAAAAUAUCCAUUUUUUCUUCAUAAAUUGCUUUAUUAAAAUUUGCCACACCACGAAACUUUUGGCGAAUUAAGGGAACAAAAUCGAACUCAAUAAAUAAAUUGAGGCAUAUCAAACAUAAAAUUUUAUUUUUUCGCUAGAAGAUUGAAAAUACUGAUAAAAUUAAAAGCUAAAUUAAAUCAAUUAAUACUUAAAUUUAUUUAAUUUAUUUGUCAUAUAAUUUAUUGCUUAAUUUUUUUAAUAGAUCUAAUAAUUUUUUGAAAAAAAUUAAUUAAAAAAAUAAUUUUUCAAAUACUUUUUAAAAUAAUUUUUUUCAAAUAAUUUUUAAAAUAAUUUUAAAAAUUAUGUUUUUGUAUUUUAUAAAAGAAAGACUAUAAUAUAGUCAAAAAAAAUAAAGAAAGAUAUCUUUGCAUUUUAAAAAUUCUAACAUGUAAAAAUUUUUAUUCUGCAUCAGAUAUAGUUAUACUUUAUAUACAAAUAGAGUUUACAAGUAUGUUAAUUGAUGAGUAUAGUAAACUAUACAUAGCAAAUAUUCAUAAUUAGUUGAUUAAAUCUUUUAAAAGAACAUUAUAAGAACUUAUUGGAACAAAAAAAUUGAAAAAAGUCCAUGUCACGAUAGGAGGUCAUGCGUAUCCGUCGGCACACAAGCGUAUUAUGUGUCGACACAAAAGCGUGCCGGUGCCAUAUCAUGUCAGGCAAACAGCGGCACGCUCCUGUGCCACGGCACUUUAAACCUUGGUUAAUUCAUUUCAUUCAUGGCUUCAUAGUUACAUCUUGCUUCUUAUAUUCUCCUCUAUAUUGUACUACAAUGCAAAUUACAGAAAAUAGUAGAUUAAAGUGUAAAAAGUAAUAAAAAGGUAAAUGGGCCAUCUGGACCUAGUUCGGUGGAGUAUGGGCUCUGAUUUUGGGUUCUUUGCAUCCGAAUCUCUUUGUGGCUUAUCAGAGUGGAUCUCUCUCUCGAGUGCUUGAUCCGCUAGCUUAAAGGUUUAAAUACUUCUAAGCUCCCUGUUGCUCUAGAUCCUAUCGAAUGCCACCCUAGAUCGCUACUCCUACCUAGUCUUCGGCUCUCAAAGAAGUGAUCUCCAUAGAUGUGUCCUUCCUUUGAAAGCCCUUGCUCUGCCAUGGGAGAAGGCUAAGUCUCCUCCUUGAGUCUAGAUGCGCCUUUCCUUCAAAAGCCCUCGCUCCGCCAUAGAAGAAGGCUAAGUCUCCUCCUUGAGUCUCUUUAUUCUUCAAAACUACUUUACUGCUAUCUACUUAAUUUCCACUCUACUCAGGUUGUUACAUAAUCAUUCUUCAGAGCAUUCUUAACUUGGUGUUCCAUGUAUUUUUGACAAAGUUUCAUUGGUUAAGUCAACCUUUGAUUUUCAAAAGCAAAGAAACCAUAUAGCAUAUAGAAGCCAUCAUAGCACAGGUCGGUUCGUCAUUUCCUACUCUGUCAGCUAUUUAUUUGAAAUUUAAGAAAAUAAAUAUGAUACAAAUACUCAAUAGCAAUAUUACAGAUAAAUCGUAAAAAAUAAAAAGUAACAAGAAACAAGAGAAUCGAAAGAUAUAAAACAAGAGAGUCCAUUCAAGUACCUUGAGAAUAGCUGAAGACGAAUUACGAAGGCCGCAAGAUUGUCUCCCACUAUCAAGAUAAUAAGCAAUAUUUAGAAAAAUCAUAACAAAGAACUGCCCACAAAGAUACAGUAACUAAAGAUAGUUGCACAUCCUAUGAUUACUGCAAAAUAAACCAAGAACUGCCUUUAAUAUUACAUAAACCUCACUUCAGAAGCUAUUUGGGGGUGUGCAGGCCUAGUAAAGUACUAAACUACUAUCAAAAGACUAAUAUCAAUAUCAAGAGUUUUUGAGUGCUUUUCUUAAAGCAUACUUCUCAUUAGUCAAUCAUCAUCACAUUUGGCAAUAAUUUUCUGAAAACACUCAAAGAUAUCAUUUUAGGAUAUUAUAUGUUCCUCCAAGUUGAAGAUACUGGUCAAAUAGAUCCUUUGAUAUCAAUAUCUCUUGAUAUUUAUUCAAUUAAAGAGAAACAAAAAGAAAACCAACUUUGAGAUAGAAAUGCAUAUAGAUGCCUGAACGGCUAAACUAUUGGUCGUUUUAUAACGACCCAGCCCACUAGCAACAAUAACUCGUUGGGCCCAACCACCAACCCAAAAUGCUUAAGCCCAGUUAUUAUUACUAGUGUCUAAGUCUCAUAUAUACCCAACACAUCCCCAUUCCUAUCCAAUGUGGGAUUAUUGGGGUGUGACAGACUCCCCCCGUUAAGGCCCUGACGUCCUCGUCAGUCCAGUCACACACACAGCCCAAGAUCACCGGGCGAUGUGAGACUCGUCUUGCUAGCCUUGUCAUCCAGACCCUGGCAUAGCCGAUCACCUUGUCAUAUAGACUCCGGCAUAGCCUAUCACCUUGUCUUUCAGACCCUGACUCAGCCGAGACUCGCCACAUAUUUUCAGCUGGUAAUUGGCUCUGAUACCAAAUAUAACGACCCAGCCCACUAGCAACAAUAAUUUGUUGGGCCCAACCACCAGCCCAAAAUGCUUAAACUCAGUUAUUAUUACUAGUCUAAGUCUCAUAUAUACCCAAUCACAUCCCCAUUCCUAUCCAAUAUGGGAUUAUUGGGGUAUGACACGUUUCCAAACAGAUAGCUGAAUGAUAAGGGACUGUAGAUGCAUGGACAUCUUUUUUAGCAUACCAAUUUUAUUUACUGUCAAGGAACAAGUAGUAAUUGGCUUCAUAGGAGCACGAAAGUAUGUCUACAAUGCAUAAUUAUGCUGCCUCUCCUGUAAGUCUCUUUUAUCGAAGUAAGAUAAAUCACUUCAUAGGUGGAAUACAUAGAAAAUCAUGAUCAUAAGGACCUUGAAAUGGACUACAAUCAAACUACUAGGUAGCAAUCACAAAAGAAAAUUCCCAUGCAAUAAGCCAUCAUUAAUUCCAACAUCCAAACAGUCCCUAAAAGGUCCGAAUUCUGUACCUAACUGAUUUUAAUUUCUCACCCCUAUCCAAACAUCUCGAAAAAUCAUCACUUAAACCCCGCGCCAUCCAUCUACCUGUGCACCGUAUUGACACCAUUAUGCCCUUAAUUUAUCUAAUGCUUAUCUCCACCAUAUGUGGAUUGUAGCCUUUUCUCUAUUUUAAUUUGGAUGAUUAGAUUUGAUGUAUGAGAUGAAAUGGAGAGUGGAUUGCAGAAUGGUGCACGAAUGAACCAAUGCACCAAGUGGAGGCAAUAAUUUCUCGACAUAUUGGGGAUAGAAUCAAGGUACGGAAAUAAAUAUUCCAGAAAGGUUAGGCACUAGAUCAUAGUUACAGUGGCUUAUACGAAGGUGAAAAAUGAAAAACUAAGGAAAAAUUAUCUGAUAUACUGCCCCAUAGUUUGCUCAUACUGCUAUUGAGGAGAUAACCUUGAAACUUCAGCAAAUAUAAAUGGUACAACGAGAUCUCCAUGAAGUGCUAAUAUCCAGCGAAUUGGUCGACUAAACACGACCUGCAGAUGGAUUACAGUUUAGUUACUUUAGUAACACGAAAACUAAGCUGGAUCAGCAAAAGAAAGAACAUAUAUGGUAGUUACGGAUUAGACAACAGGAAAUUUAUAAGUUCCUUUGGAAAUGAAUUUGAUUCUAACAAAAUUUUCUAGGCUACAUAACAUUAGCAGUGAUAAAAUCAUCUUAAAGAUAGAGACACCUAAAUCUAAAGACACUUCUAAAUCAAAAGGCAAAGGGCAAAAUUAGAUACCUCUAUGGCCUUGUUUCACUUCUAUAGCCAGUGAAUCAGACAAGCUUUUUUUUUUUUUUUUACUUCCCAGAGGUUGCUAAUAAUUAAGGUUUGCCAUUGACUAGAAGUUAAACAAAUGGUAAUCAUUCGACUUAUUUAACUAUUGUAAAUAGGGAAGACCAACAAGAUCAAGCAAUUAGACCCUUAUCUAAGUGUUUUAGUGAGCUGAGUGAUUACCACGUGCUCAAUUUUAACAGCAUUUACAGUAAACUGUAGCAGAAAACACAAACAGCAGUAUCAGGGCACUCCGAACUUGUAGGGGUAAGAAGAUUCAGAAUAUACCAUUUCAGUUGGCAAGUACAAUAAGUUUGCUCAAGAGAUAAUUGAUACAUCCCGCAAGAGCAUUGUUGUGUAAGUGCACAAGAAAGAUGGAAAAGCAAGGGAAACUUGUAAUUGGCAACAGGUUGAAAAUUGUGAUCUACGUUGGAAGCUGGAACCACUAAUUUUAGCAGGCUAAGAGUUAAACGUUUGGUCGCCUUUCUUAACAUGCCUGUUCCAUGGGGCGUUAAUUAGUUCGCUUUGGUCCACUUUUUAGGCAAAUCUCAAACCGAAUCAAAUUUUUCAGUUUGAAAAAUUUUCCAACCGAACAGAAUUUAUACUCAGAACCGAUUCAAAUCAAACCGAAUUAAUUCGGUUUGGUUAGGUUUGGUUCAAUUUUGCAAUUAAAUUUUAUAUUUUUUAUUUUUCUUAUGAAUAAUUUUAUAAUUUAAGAUUUAAAAUUGAAUCAUUAUGAAAUCACACACAAAAGAAUUAAUUAUAAAGAUAGAAUUUUGAAAAACAUGUUGAUGUAUGAUAAUGAUUUGAUCAUAAAUGUAAAAUUUUAAUAUGUAAUUUAGAUAAAAAGUGUAAAAAAAAGAAAAAUAUUACUAUUCGGUUUUCGGUUUGGUUCGGUUCAGUUAAGAAAUGUGUUCAAACCAAACCAAAACCGAAAACCGAAUUUAACUAAAUUUGAAAAUAGUAACAAACCGAAAACUAUAUAAACCGAACCAAAUAGUCUUAUUUGGUUUGGUUCGAUCUGGUUUAUGGAUUGGGACCAAACCCUGUACACCCUACCUAUUCCUCAUGGACCAUUUCUUGGUUUGAUGGAAAUAUUUUGGGUUCUGGAUCAAAACAGUUGCAGGUCUAUAACUUGAGAACUUGUACAAGCUACAAGAAGAAAUGCCAAACGAAAAACAAGCAGCUGCAAGAAGAGAACUUGUACUGAACACAUAAAUUCACAUAUAAGAACUUCAAUCUAGCCACUUUAACUUUUGUGGAAUGUCCAGCAUAACAAUGAUACUCUGACAGGAAUUAAACAACGAAAAAUAUAAAAUAAUUAAGAAUGAAAAAAAAGAUUAAGAAGCCAGUUGUUACAUUGGAGUUCCAGCGCAUUGACUUGGGAAAUGUGAUAUUACUUAUUAUGCUCGGCAGAUCUUCAGCUAACACCUGCAAAAAUUAACAAAUUUAAUCCAGGCAACUGUCAUCAUGGUUGAACAAAAAUCAAAAUCUAGGUGAAAACAAACCUUCAAUGCAUAUGCAUAAUACUACAAUCUACAAAAAAUAAAACCAAAUACUAACAUGCUAAGAACCACUAUGCACUAUGCAGUUGAGUAGUCUGAAUAAGAAAUUAACACGCCGUGGAAGUAAAAGAGUUAGGGUUUUCAAGGUGCUAAGGAUAAGGCAAUAAACAAUUAAUAUAAUUUCGAAGUGGAAGGAUUGAAAUUUAUUUUGCUAAAAAAGCUGCGAAAAUAGGACCUAGAAACCCUCUCCAUGUUCAAGCGGAUUUGGAAAUAGAAAAGAUUAACACUUACAAGGAGUUAGUAAAAGAACAAGAAACACUACACUUGACAAAUAAAAUAGAAGUUUGUACUAGGAGCAUCAUAAGGACAAGUGGCACUACUUUUAUUUACCAAGUUUCAGUCCUUGACUCUGUUGGGAUCAAAAAAGAAUUUAAAAUUUAAAUUGAAAUAUAGAAGGAAGGAAAUACAGAGAGGAAAAUUUCAAAAAAAAAGGGGAAAGAAUCCAAUAAUUUGUAUAGAUGAUCAAGUUACCUUUUUUAAAAAAUUUUGAAUAAUUUCCAAAAAGAAGGGAAGUUGUUGGAGCCUUUUUAUAAGUUAGAUUCUUGUAAAAAGGAGAAGGUUAGAAAAAACAAAAAAAGAGAAUCUGAAAGAGAAGAAGAAAAAAAAAAAAAAGAAGAAAGAAAAAGAACUCAAAAAAAAAGGGAAAAAGAAGUUUUUUGUAUAUAUACUCUUUCUCUCUCUUUCUGGUGNCUUUCUUCUCCUGCGCACUAGCAGAGGUGCCAUGCACACCUCCCUCUCCUCAGCCCGUACAAUUAAAAAAAAAAAGAAAAGAAAAAGAAAGGAGCUUUGGCUCUUUCAUCUGACGACAGCAAUGACGACGAUCGCGGCGACUUCCACGGCAACAAAGGGUAAUGCAUGCAUACAAACAGUGUAAGUGUGAUUUGUUUUGUCAGUUUGAUCAACACGACCAUCUUCGCGAUAGGCUCGAAUCAAUCAAAUUCGACAUUAAAUCGCCACUUUUAUCGUGCGUAUAUAUCACUAAUCCAUAUUCCGAGCGGCCAUCUUCGUGGUAGGUUCGACACGGUUAAAAUCGGCGUUUCAUAUGGACGCCCUUUUCAUUGGGUUGAUCGAGCGGCCAUCUUUGCGAUAGGCUCGACACGAUCGAACCAUAUGCAUCACUAAUCCCUAUACCGAGCGGCCAUCUUCGCGAUAGGCUCGACACGGUCAAAGGGUUGAUCGAGCGGCGAUCUUUGUGAUAGGCUCAACACGAUCAAACCCACAUAUUUGGACAAAAAAUAAUAAUAAAGAAAAAUGAUGAACAUAUUUUGACUUGCCAUCUUCCUGAUACACAUUGUUCAAAUUAUUCGCCAUCUUCGUGAUAGGCACGAUUCGACUUGAUCAACUCGCCAUCUUUGUGAUAGACACAUAUUUGAUCAAAUUGCCAUUUUCGAACCUUGUGUUUGAGACAGGUUGUCUUAGCAACACCCUAUGAGUGCAAAAAAAAUUUGAUGAUUCAUGAAUUUGGGAUUGAUUUUUAAAAUCGGACCAAAUUAAUUUGGUUCGAAUCAAACCCGACAAAAAAAAAGAAGAAAGGGAAUGGUUUGGAGUUAUUUAAUUGAAAAGAGUGGGAUCUAUAAUUUAUUUAUGGACCCAAUGAAGAAAUCUCAUAUGCAGUUCACAAAAAAAAAAAAAAAAAAAAAAGCCAAAUCCAUUCCAGCCCAUAUGAUAGUGCAGGCCUAGUUUACAUACAGGCCCUGAAUCCAACCCAUAUAUAAUGUAGGCCCAAGUCUGCUCACGGGCCCUGAAUCCAGCCCGUAUGCAGAUGCAGCCCAAUUUACAUACGGGUCCUAAAUCCAGCCCGCAUAUAAUGCAGGCUCAGUCUACUCACAGGCCCUGAAUCCUACCCAUAUGCAGAUGUAGCCCAGUCUACUCGUGGACCCUGAAUCCAGCCCGUAUACAAUGCAGGCCCAGUCUACUCAUGGGCCCUGAAUCCAACCCGUACACAAUGCAGCCCAGUCCAUUGACGAACCCUGAAUCCAGCGCGUGUAGUAUGAAAGCCCAAUCCACAUAUAGGCUUCAAAUUCAGUGCACAUACAAAAUAAAACCCACAAAACACAAAAUCCACAAAUAAAACCCAAGACCCAAAGUCCACAAAUAAAACCGAUGAAGCCCAAAGUCCACAAACAAAACCCACAAAACCCAGAGUCUACAAAUAAAAUCCAAAACCCAAAGUCCACAAAUAAAACUCACAAAACCCAAAGUCCACAAAUAAAACCCAAGGCCCAAAGUCCGCAAAUAAAACCCAAAACCCAAUCUAUUUCAUAAAUAAAACCGCCAAAGUCUAAGAGCAUAAAGCUCAAAACUACCAAACCUAUAUUAUCCAAAUGCCUCCAAACCAAACCAAAUUUAGCCAAAUAAUUUCAUGGGCCUUUCAUGAACCAAUUUCAUAAAGUAAAAUGGGCUUCUCAUGAACCACUCGUUGGAGAAAAGCCUGCGGCGGAGCCGGUUCGUUCAUGGCGGCAGACAGACUCCUUGUGAACUUCAACUCUAAGUCCAAAGCCAAUAAAAAUAGGAAAUAAUAAAAUAGAGAAGGUCAUGCAUUCAAUGUUGCCUCUUGCCCGUCUUCACCCCAACAGCCCCCCUCCACCACAACAACCAAAGGGAAAAUCCUGGCUCUUCCAUGCCAGCUACAUAUUUUCUCUCGUUAUUAACGUAAUUGCCUUCCAUUCUCAAUAUACAAAAAUGAGAAACCAAAUAUUAGGAAAAUUGAAUACUUCCUUAAAUUGACCAUUCUAGAAGUUCUUGCUAUCUUAGUGAGUUUCCUUAUUCUUGGCCACCUAAAUUCCUUCUUUACAUUCAAAUAAGCUAUAGAUAUUAUUGACAAGACAUAGAGUGCAUUUACUUUAGCAGAAAAUUAACCAACAUUAGUCCAUAAAUCAACAAAACAUUCUCUAAAAUAUCCAACUAUAACAGUAAAAAGACGAUAUACGAACCUCUAUAGCAGACCGUGCAGACUCUUUCACACGAACAAAGACAUAUUCUGUUUUACCUGAAAUGAUUAAAUAAGAAACAGGUAAGUUAGUGUAUGAAUCUACUAUUUACAAAAUGAUUCCGCAAAGAAUCAAACAUUUUAGAAACACAUGUUCGUGCAAAAGAAUCAUUAAAUAAGCAAACUCAUCAAAGCAGUACAAUGCCAGAGAUACAAAUUCUGACAGUAUAGAUGUAAGUGACAGCAAUUGACUCAAAUAAGUUGACAAAGAGCAAAGGCCUAGGGUCAAAACUUAAAACACCAAGUAAAAAUCAAUUGUAGAAUGUAUCUUGUUAAAUAACUGGGUAGUAGUAAUACAUCAUUUCAACUAGCAAAUAUUCAUUCGACAAUCUGCUGAGAUGAACAGAAAUUUUCAAAAUACUGUCAGCAGCAGUAGCAGAUGGUAUGAUGAACAUGCAACAAUCAAAUAACAGUCCCAUAUCAACACAAUUUAACUUUUAUGUAGACCAAAAGUUUCAUAUACUACUAGUAGCAGAGAUCCACCUAUAGUCAGUAGAAAAGGUUAAAAGUAAGAAAAUCUUUGUAAUACAUACUAUUAGAUUUAGUGAAUAAGAUAUUGCGACAAAUUAAUGUUAGUUGGUUAUAACAUUCAUGUUCCCACAAGGCAAGAAAGUUUAGUGCCUAAUAUUUACUGAAGUGGACACUUCAUAUGAAAGUUUUACUAAUAUAGGCAUGCUAUCACACUUUUGCAAUUUGUCAUUAUUUAUUCUUCUUCUAGUUUAGAGAAAUGGGUAGAACAUCAGCAAAAUAAAAGGAUAUUAUUCUUAUCUAGACGUAGAACACAAAUGGUAUUGGAUAAGGGAUGCAAGUGCAUAUCAUACUACCUACAAUUGUACUGUAGACAUACCACAAUAGCAAGAAAUAAUAUUACCAUAGCAGUAAAAUGCACAGGGAGAGAACAACCAAUUACAAAAAAGAAGCCAAAUAUCAUGGUAAAAGGAAAGGUUUCUGUUAGAACUUAAACCGAAAAGAUCUAGUUCGUCGGGUGCGAAAAUACCGAAAGAGAAUCGAGAACGAGAGAAGAAAAAUAAAGCACACAAUAUUUACGUGGUUCGGCCAUCGGCCUACAUCCACGGGCAAAGACGGAGUGAAGAUCUUCAUUAUAAUCAAAGUGGUGUACAAAAUAUGCCUCUCUCACAAAACCCUAAUCCCAAAAAUACACCCAUAUUCUCUCUCUCAUCUUCCGCACUAAACCAAUGGAAUAAAGGAUAUAUUUAUAAUAGUGGCUAAAUCCUAAUACAACUAGGAAUACAAACCCACUAAGAUUAGGAAUAUCUCAAUAAAAUUAGGCAUAAUCUAAACUUAACUUAAUGGAAUAAUCAAAACAGAAUAGGGUUAGAAAACCUUGCGGUACUAGAAUUCGAGACAUAAUUAACAGUUUCAUUGAUAUGAAAUUUGUAGAUGCGCUUGUGUUAUAUUUAUAUCACCAUAACAAUGAUUGAUGCUUCCAACAUAAGAAUGUUUUUUUGCAUUAAACAAUGAGGACACUGAAAUACAUAUAGGAGAAAAGGACUUAUUCUCCCACACUCUAAAGAGGCUAGCAUUAGCAACUCUGGUUGGAUUCCAAAGAUCACUAGUUCCUCGCAGAAUAUCUUGAACGAGGUUGAAGAAGGAAAACUAUUCCAUACAACUCCACCUCAGUGUCGUAGUUCUAGAUGGGAGCAGUUACAGAACUAUAAAAAACUACUUAACAUACAAGGCAUAUCUCGGUUACAAUUUCACAAGUUCCUAAGAAGUGAAAGGCAUAUGUUGCAUAUAUGAAAGACAAUAUUAUUUUCUGAUAGGUGACUCGUUCCAAAUUGGUCCAAUAAAGUCAACUAUCAAAGAGAAAUUAUAAUACUAAAUCAAAGACAAAUCUGACAGACGAUUGUCACGAUUCUAACAAAUUUCAAAUGUCUACUAGUUUCAAGCUUCUGCUCGAUCUUAAGUUUUCUGGUUAACAGGGCUGUUUUGAUUUUCUUCAAAAAUGGACUUCUCUUGAAUCCCUAUUAUAGGUCAAACAUUAGCAAGAUUUAUGACCUGCGCAAGGAUAUUGAUUCAACAUCUAUAUCCUAUAUGGUACUAUACCACCCCCAACACCUCACGAAUAUGAGUCCAUAAUUUCAUCCUUGGCUUAUUCAAUGGUUAAAUGAUCCUAUAGCAUAUUAGCCUAUCAGGUCUUCAUUUAAUUACCGAACAGCUUUACAAGUUAGACUCAUAAUAAAGGUAAGCAGAAGAGAAGCAUCUAAAAAGGGCAUGAAAGAAGUAUUUCAAUUUUCAUUUCACACAAUUGUUCAGCACAUACUCUGUGGCAGUACUCCCAAUAAUUUAAAAAGAAGCGAAAAUAAAGUAUGAAAGAUACAACAACAGAGAAAUAAAAUAGCAAAAAGACAAACAACGAACAGAAUAAGUUAACACCAAGCAUGCUGCUACUAACCUUCUAUUUUCUUAUAUAGCUGGUCCACAGAUACACUAUUCUUACGGCAAAAACCCUCAGCAGCCUGAUGCAAAGAGAUAACUAUUUAAGUGCAUAUACAGGUACCAUUGAAUAUGAGUACCGACAGCAAGCAUUCAGUUGACUUACCAUAUGAUUUUCAUUUUAAUUUUCUAAAAAAAAAAUUAAUCAUAGUACAAAUUAGAAAACAAUCAGAAAGUGAUUGAUGCUACUAUACUAUCAUCAAAACAUUUUUAAUAAGAAACGUUGUGCAAUAUAAACGUUGUGCAUACUAUAUUUGAGUUAAUAACAGAUUUAAGAAUAAAGAAUCAAAGGGAAAGAGAAAGUUAACAGAAAAAAGACAAAAAAAGAAAACCAUUACCUGGAAAUUAAUAAUCAAAUUACUGUUGACCAGUUAAAACAUAAGAUUCAGGCAACUAAAUAAGGUAUGGCUAAAUCACUUUACAACACUUGCUUUGGCAAGAACAGGAAAAAAGAAAUAUGGCAGUGGAAACAACUAAAUAAGUAAGAAACUAGGACCUUAGUAGGCUUUCCUUCUUGAUCAAAUGCCUUUGCUACUGGGGGGCCACGUAGUUCAGUCUCCUCCUCUUCUUGAUUGAUACUAAGAUUUUCAACACAAAUCUGCAAAUGGACAAGUUAUCGAUUUGACGUGUUAUGCUUAACAGGGCAUUCAUACUAAUAUAGGAGACAAAGAUUCAUAUCGCAAGCCCAGAUUCUAGAAGAAAAUCAAAUAAGGCCACGGGUCUAGUGUCAAAAUCACUUUUUUAAGAAAAGCGAUGGAGUAUCAUGUAAGUUUUUUCACUUUAUUGAUAUGUCAGUCUGCUCACCUUCCGAAAAGAUGACUCGGACUGCUCAGCAGCUCAUACAUUUCAGGGGGUUUUGCAUACAAAAUUAACUUCAUAGCAUUCUUUUAAGUGAAGGCAGCAUUUUCAGUAGGGAUGUCAAUGGGUACGGAUACCCGAAAAUUUAUCCGAACCCGAACCCGAACGGAGCGAAUUUAUCCGAUGCUAAAUGGAUAUGGUUUUGGAUAUGGUUAUCAAAAACAAAAACCCGACGGAUAUGGAUACAGAUAUGGAUUUUGACUGUACCCGACCCGAACCCAAACCCGACCCGAACCCGAAUUUAUUUUACAUUAUAUAUAAUAUGUAUAUGAAAAUUUGAUAUUAUUUGUAUUUAAAAUUUUAAAUUUAAUAUAAUAUAUUUUGAAAUAUUGAAAAGAGAAAUAAUUGUUUCGGGUUCGGUUUUUCGGGUUCGGGUUCGGGUUUUGCGUUUUUGGUCGGGUUCGGGUUUGAAUAUGGAUUUUUCAAAUCCGUCGAGGCCGGGUUCCGGUUUGGGUUCAGGUUCGGGUUCUGGUUUGGGUUUCGGGUUUGGAGUCGGGUUUGGGUUCGGGUUUUAAUCUGCCCCGAAUCCAAAACAUUGACAUCCUUAAUUUUCAAUAAUCCUUGUGGCAUGGCAGUGUUGCUUAUUGUUGCCCCAAGCAUGUACCGCACAACAAAUUUGUAUACUAGCCGCACAGUGCCACCUUCUUUUAGGUUUUCUAUGGAAAAAAAACCACAUACCCUUAUUUGUUACCACUUAACUUUUUCUUUUUUGAACUCAAAUUCAACGCGAUUGGAUAUGACAACUAUCGUCAGCACUUAAAACAUAAAAAUUCAUUCUAAAUUUCCAUACUAAACUAUUGGCAUAUCAACUGAGGAUACUAAUAUCAGCAACACAAACUUCGAGGAAUCACAAAAUGAAACAUAAUGAUGCAAAUUUAGAUUAGCUGAUCGAAGAAAGUCUUCUAGACAGAAAUAACAACAGCAUGCUCAAAUAUUAAUAUCAACAGCCUAACAAAUGUACAACAACAUGAGCUUUGCAUAACUUCAAGGAAAACAUUUCUAUAGCAAAGUCUAAUAUGAAGGUUGAUACUUAUAGGUAUAAGAAGUAGAUACCACUAUUCUGCGCGGCGUACCAUAAGUCAACACUUUCCCACGACUCAAUCUUCGUUUCUCUAAUGUUUGCUCUACUAAUGCUUUGAGCUGCAACAGAUACAAAGCAUUUCUUAAUAGUGAAGCAAACAAAAAAUUUCCAAUUUCCCGAAAAAGGCAUUUCGGAAAUUGAUAAUAAGUAUCUUUAUCGGAACAACACAUACAAGUUUUCUGAGUGUUAAAAAAAAAAUGUCCCUGAGGAUAGCAGAGAAGAGACAAGAUGACAAGUUCUCAUGCAAUGCGCAUUAUCAUAGAGAGGAACAAGAAAAUGGUGAGAAACUAGGUAUCGUAUCAUGCCAAUGCGAAACAAACUUACUUGCCCGCUUGCUUCUACUACAUCCUGAGGUGGCAGCUCUUCCGUCCCAAUUUCAAGAACAAAUAAUCGAGGUUGCUCCAUUUCCUGUUAAAUCCAUUAAAGAAUGGUGAAUGUAAGCAGAUAUCAAAGAGAUCAAGAGAAUGACACCAUCUGCAAGGUAUAUAUGCACCAAAUCUAAUAAUUUUAUCCAAACUUUCCCUCUAAUAUAUUCUUUAUGGUAUGUACUGCUAUAACUGGAAUGAAGUUGAAAGAUCUAGAGAUUGUAGUAAUUUUUAGUGAAUUUCUCUAAUUCCAUGGUCUUCCCUGCACUUUGCCACUACUUUCAAUUUUAAGAGCUUGCAUAGAAAUCAUCCUACAAUAUAUAAUGAGCUGUAAUUUCAAAUGCAUAUCUACAACUGCAAACAUAUCACCCAAGUAAAUGAAUCCUCAUUAAUGCCAUUGCAUCAUUAUCUACCUAUUAGUUGCAAAGGAAAUGAAAAAGAAAAAUGUAAAACAGCUUGGAAGUGCAAAUUCCUCUCAUUUUGUAGUUGCUAAAUCACUCUUGAUGGCUGCUCUUUUCUGCAUAAAAUUCAAUAAUCUCUUCAGAAAGUUAUUUCAAAAAGGCUAAAUUGUAGUAUUGAAAUCAGGCAUUCAGAAGCUAUAUCUUUUUUCGUAUGCUAAAUAUGAUGUAUUGCAAUUUUUUUGCGUUUUCUUUUUCUUUUCUCACUAAGGAUAUUAGGAUGUAAAAACAAAUCCAACUUUAGAACACUCAGACGGAAAAAUAGCUUAUAGUCAAGGUAAACAUUUGCAUAGCGGAAAGUUUCUCAUUUCCAAAACAUAACAACUUCUCUAGGAAAAACAAAUACAACUUCUUGGGUAAGAAAGGAACAUGGAAAAAACUAAUCAAUCUAAUCAGUGAUUUUUACCAAAUUAUGAUGUAUCUUGCUGCAUAGAGAACUUAUGCAAUGGUAACUGAUAACUAACAUCUUGGCUAAGACCACUAUCUUGAGAAAUACUAGACUAUACUAAGUACUGACCAAUGCUUGCACAGUAGGUGCCAAGCUUUAUGGACAUGGAGCCCAAUGGACUGCACAUUAUUGGACGAACGGGAAAUAUUUAGUUAACAUUAUUCCUAAGGUUGUUUAAACUUAUACUAAGUGCCCAUUGGCAUGGGUCGUGCCCACCGUACCAUACCAUACCGACAAGAUAUCAGCAUGAUACGACCCCCCUGUUGAUGCAUGACUCGACAUCAUCUUUUCUUUGAAAUUAAGUUAUUUCAGUAAAGUGCAAAAAAAAUGAUUAACAUACAUAAUAAGCAAUUAAAAUAUAUUGGGACCAUAGAAAAUAAAUGUUUCAUAUCAUAAUACGUUGGCACAGGCAUAUUUGUGACUGGCACACACCUUCUUGGCACGACCUCCAUACCAUGACACUUAAAUCCUUACUUCCACGUCAAUUAGCAAUAAUGUGUAGCUUUAUAUACACUACAUAAAUUAUAAUAACAUUGCGACUCUGGUAGCCAAACAUGUUGUAUGCAUUCUCCAUCUUUUAAAGCAUGCAAAGGAGCAAAUCGCUCUUUUAGGCAAGAAAAACUUUCGCUAUAAGUCAUAACUUCAAUGAAGCAAGAUUAAAUUAUAUCUAUUUAAAGCUUCUAACAAACAAACCUUUUUCAAAUCAAAUUCAACAAUGCUAGGAUGGAUGAGACUAUUUGCAUCAUACGAAAUGCCUAAAGGAUGACCAAGACUCUCACGUGUCUUUACCCAUAACUGAGCACAUUGGCGAGCAAGGCUGCACAAUAAAAUGAUACAGUUAUGAAGAUAUGGAAUAUAUUUGUCAUUACUUCAUAUAAAGAAUUGCAACACCACAAGAAUCACUUCAUAUGGAAAUAUUAUUAAUUAUUCUAGUUCUAAAAUUCUUAAGUUGCAUAUUCAAACAAUAGUGCGUUUAUCAUAUUUGUAGCCACAUGGAGCCCACAAAAAUCAAAAAGUGAAUGACUCAAAAAUGAAUAAUAACAUGUACACUAGCAUAAGCCUUACAAGUUUUAGCUACCCUUGUUAUAAGGAGUAGACAUAUUUUCAAGCACACAUGCAUAAGCAUAAGCACAAUACUACAACAAUAGGGGCAAUAGUGUCAUCAUGUUCACAUACCCAGUAUGAUUAGUAUCCGAUGGCAUUGACUGUUAUUUUCAGAUUAGUUGGUCAUAAAAUCCUCAACAUAUUAAUAGCACAAAACCACAAUAGUAGGGCAAUUGAAAUUGGUUUAUAACCUUAAUCUGAAAAUAGCAAGGUAAUUUUCCUGCUAUCUGUCUUACCUUGAUGCUUUAGAAGCCAUCAUAUUCAUAUACAACAUCUACUAAAAUGAAAUUGAACUCUCACAUUUAAUCGCAUCUAGAUUGAAGAAAAUUCAUAUUAGGACGUAAAUAAAUUGACUCAAAGGCAAAACAAACAUAUCAAAACAAAUAUGAUAUGCACUCAAUUGAAAUCAAGGACAGUUGAUACAUUUAUCAAUAAUUUCAUCCCCAAGAUGACAUAAUGGUUGGCUUUUAGAAUUUACAAUAGGGAAAUAGAAAAUUUCACCUGCGCAUGCGGCCAAAAUAUCUAGCACGCUCAGUGACACCAACAAAUCCUCUAGAGUCCAAAAUGUUGAAAGCAUGAGAAGCCUUUAAAAGCUGAUCAUACCUAACAAAUUGCAAAGAAAAGGUCCACUACGAUAAAGGUCAACUAUUGGACUGCUUUAGGACAAGUAAAUUGUUACAAAUAGAAAAUUCGGUUUUAUAAGUGUACGCAGGAAUGGGGAGUCCGAGUGACAGCAAUGAACAAGCUUCUUCUUCAAAAUUCUCAAAGUGCUUCUGGAUAUGCUCAACGUUGGCAUGUUCCAAAUAAUAAAAGCUCAUCUCCUUCCUGAAUCAACAGAAGGCCGAAAUAUUUGCAUGAUUGCAUGUCUAAAAACAUGACAAUCUAUCACUUACUUGAAGAAGACAAUUGUUCAUAGUAUCUAUAGCAAUUUACAUAAGUAAACUAAACCAUGUCUUCAAUGUUAAAGAUGGCUGUAAAUUUACAAAAUAACAUAAGAGCUACAAGUAAAAGCAUUCAAAAAAGUAGUGCAUUGUAUUUCAACACAGAUUGACAUCUGCAACAACAUAUAUAAUGUUGAAUUGUUGACGAAAGCCUAGAAAACAUGAAAAAACUGCACAAUCAUCAGAGAAAUUCUUCAGGAAACCUAUAACAGUUAUCUGUUUAAGAACUAAAAAAAUCAAGUGGCCAACUAAAUGACAAAUGCAACAUAAGCUACUCCCAGAAAUCACAUAUACUGUUCAUUCAACUAUUACUUUCAUUCCAUCUAACAUCACCUACACCCUCAAGUUCUCAUUGCUCCCUAUUUUCUUCCGAUGCUUUCUUUUCUUUAUGACUACAACCGAUUAACAGCCAGACAGUGGAGUGUAUGGCAAACUACCCAUAACAAUUAUCUGACUUACAAUCUACUAAAUGAAUAACCACCUACCCACCUGAACUAGAUACAAUAGUUUCAUUAUGAUUGCUCAUUUAUUUUUUAAAUGUAUUGAUGAAUGUAUGCGUCCAUUGAUUGAAAAAACAAAGAAUAAGUUGCUAACAUUGAGAUUUCACACAUUCAAUCACCAAACCUUCCAAAAUAUUAUACAAAUGCAAUAUCACCAUAACAUGCAGCACAAAAGAACUUGUGUUCAAUUGACAAAAAUAUUAACUAUAAAAGUUACUGACUUCAACAUAGUUUGUAGCAAGAAGACCAAAAUAAACAAACGAAAAAAGCAAUAAAUAGCACACAUAUCCAUCUCAACCAUGAUUGAGAAAAGCAGCAAUGCACUUUUAAAGAUAUUUGAGAAGCAACUAACUCAUUCUCCAAAAAUAGCUCCCCAUAUGUGAUUCCGUCAGCAUAUUGUAUCUUCUUGAAAUGAUCUACCCCCUGCCAACCAUGUCUAAAUGGAAGUAAGGUCAGCUCUUACUAAAAACUAACAAACCUAUGGUGAGAAAGGUCUCUGGAAUGGGUAGUUGCAUUAUAAGGAAACCAAUUUUGGAAUGCAACCAAUAUGUAUACAUUUUUGGAAUGCACCCAAUAUGUAUAAUGAAUGUCUAAUCAAUUAAAUAAAUUGAAUAAAUCAAACAAGCAACAAUCACAUUAAAGUUUAGCAGAAAAUGCAUUGAACAGAACAGCCAAUAAAACUUUUAGGGAAAACUUUAAAUACCACCCCUGUGGUUUCACAAUUUCUCACUUUAGUACCUUGUGGUUUAAAGUGUAUCAAUUUAAUGCCCUGUGGUUUCAUUUUUAUCUUUUUAUUAUCAAUUCCACUAAUUUUUUUCGUUAAAUCAGUGACAGAGUUAAAACUAAAGGGUACUAAAGUGAAUAUUCGAUAAACCUAGGUGGGGUAUCUGAAGUUUUUUGUAUAUAAUUUAACGAAAUAUUAACGAAAAAGCUGACGAAAAGAUAAAAAUGAAACCACAUGACACUAACUUAAUACACUUUAAACCACAGGGUAUUAAAGUGAGAAAGUGCGAAACCACAGGGGUGGUAUUUGAAGUUUACCCAAACUUUUAUCUACCUGAUGAGGUCAAAGUUGCUCACAAGUCACAAAUAUAUCAAAGCAGCCACAAAUGCAAGAAGAAAUAUUCAUCCCACAAACAGAUUUUUGUGUUGGUUGAAAAUUUAAGGGUAUAAAUAAAAAUUAUACAUCUAAUAAAAUGUGAAAGAGACAGGAGAGAGAACAUAGGGAUUGGGGGGAAAAAUUUACUCCAUGAUUCAUUUUCCACAAGAAUGAAUUCCAAUGUUUGAAUACAAGUGAAGUGAAUGCUCAAUAUCUUCCUCACAGAAACUUCACAGAAAUGAUAAAAACAUGCAAGGUUGUAGAGUAAGUGCUAAUAAUGUUCCAAAAUAGUUGAACAGAUUAAAUGCAUUUGAAAAAUUAAGUAGAUAUUAAUUUUAAUCUGAUUCAGAUUGAAAAUCAUCGUAUAGCUUGUCAGACAGCUGUAAAGUGCUUAAGCAAUUGUUUUCAACAUUUUUGUAAUACCUAAGUAGAAAAGUACAGUUGGCCAACUUACCUGAAGUGACAUUAGAAUCCUUUCAAGACCAUAAGUUAUUUCAACAGAAAUUGGAAGCAAUUGAAGACUUCCAGCCUGAAGAUAUGAAAAAAAAUUAAUUGUUACCACUUGACUUGCAAGCCACAUUGCACAUCAGUAAGAUCUCACACUAUGUUUCAAGCAAAGGGGGAAAAAAGAAAAAGAAAAAAAAUACUGAAAUUAGAAGUUAUAGCAAUGGAUAAAAUAUAGAUUAGCCCUAAACAUCCAAUCUUCCACUUAAACAGAUUAAUCCCACUUUGUACGUACUUUCUUUAAUGCCAGCUAUAUGAUAUGCAUACAACCUAACUAAAGAGAAAAUUUUGGACGACAAUCAGACCCCUGGAUAACAUCGCAAGAGUUAGGUGCAUUUAGCAACUGAUCUGUUUAAGUGAAAGAAUAGGGAUCAUAUUACAAUUCAUUGAAAAUUCAGAGGCUGUCAGUACAUUUUAUUCCAAAACGUGAAGUUCAUUAGGAAGAAAACUCACAUACAUGACAUCUACAUGCGGUCGUAUUUAGAUUUUAAGGCAAUGCCAAGCGCACUACAACAGAUUCUAGUCACAUGGAAGCAUUGAAAAUGUAGUGUGAUGAUAAUUUCUUUGUCUUAACCAUUUAUAACCUCAGAGAAAGAAAACUAGAAGAACAAAAAAUUGUUAACCAUGGCAGUUAUAUAACAAGAAGCAAUGAGAAUACCCUGCUUCCAUAGACAUGCUUACCUGCUGAAAAUACGUAAACUGUGUAAUUUCCAUCCCAUCCAUCCAUACCUCCCAGCCCAAUCCCCAAGCACCGAGAACCUGCCCACAUUUUGCAGUAUAAUCUGAGCAAAUAUGAACAAUUGAAAAAAUAAAUAUGGUUUCUCAUCAAGUGAAAUUUUGAAUAUGUUCAAGCUUUAGAUAAACCCAAAGAAUGAUCGACUUAAAAGGACGAAAUGAGUACAUCUUGUUAGAUAUUGUUCUCCAAAGCAUUUAUGCUAGUCAAGAAAAAAAUAGACAAGCAGAUCAAAUUGGAAAGAGCUCUUUACCGGACUUUCCCAGUUAUCCUCCACAAAACGAAUGUCGUGUUCAUUGACAUUGAUACCUGAGAUACCAAAAAAAGGCAUGUAACCUCAUAAAAGGAUUACUGACUUCAUAUCGAAAUUUAAGAAAAUUUAUAAAUUCGUUAGUUGAUCAUAAGAUCUCGCUAUUAAAAAGAUGCAGCAAAGUCCUUGUCAUUAUUCAAGUUGGCAAUUUUUGCUAAACAUAAAGCGCACUGCAGGCUGCAAGUUAACUGACAUUCUUCAACUGAAUUAAUUAUAUUGAAACAGACAUUCAAUAAAGUACAUCUUACCUCGACAUUUAAACUGAGUUAACAAAUAAGACAUCAUUUGGUCACACUUCAGGCUUUUUUUCGUUUAUUAUCAUUAUUAGGGUUCCGGGUUUAUUAUUAUUAUUGUUCUUGUUGUUGUUGUUGCUGUUGUUAUUAUUAUUGUUAUUACUACUACUAUUAACGCAAGUGUGCUGGUGGAAGAAGGAAUUAUUGCAAUCUAUACAUUCUGGGGUUUGGUUUUGGCAACAAAAAAACAAAAACUUAGUAGUCUUUCUGCUUCUUUGUUUUUAUGAAAAAAAAAAAAAAGAUGAGAAGAUAACUAACAAUAAUAAGAACGAAGAAGCCCAUAUGUCAAUAAAAUCCAAUACACAGAAUUUAUGCCUUGUUAAAGCGCGGCUGAGUUCACAACUCAACAAAAUAUAUGCCCAUAAGACUUUCUUGGACAGUACAGGAGAAUAUACAAAAAGUGUGUUGUGGGCUUAUUCUUUCUUGGGAGAAAUGGAUGAAGACAAGGGAUAAGCCUUGCCAUAAUCAAGGAGGAGAAAAAUGAAACUGUACCUAAAUCAGUAGUAGGUCAAACGGUUAUCAUACAAGCUUGUUAAGUUCAGCUCAAGAAAUCUCAAUAAUCCAUAAAAUAAAAGCCUCCCAGAAUCAUUUUUCUAAGUGCCACAUCCAAUUUGAACCAUGGACAACAAACCAAUUUUCUAGUCGUACUCGUCAAAGUUGCAAUAAUAAGGAUACUAGGGGAUGUUUGGUUCCUUGAAAAAUAUCCCAGAAAAUAGUUCUCUGGCUGAAAAAGUAUUUUCCAUCUGUUUGGUUCCCAAGAAGAGUAGUUUUCUAGGAAAAGUUUUUUGCGGAUUUCGUGGAAAAGUAAUGUUUUUUGUUUUCCGAAUUUUUUAUCCUGAAAACGAAAACUGUGAAAAGGAAGCUUUCCAUGGAAAACUUUUUUCCCAGAAAACAGUUUUCCACACAUUUCCGAGGAACCAAACACUCCGUUAAGUAGUCUGCAAAAAAAAACUGAAAAAAAACUAUAUUAUAUUCUGCAAAUCUAUGACUAUUGAAAACAACUUACAAUGAUACUUGAUCUAUAAAACAUUUAUUUCACUUGAAAUGUCUCAUUGAAUUCAACUUCAACAAAUGAAAGUGAUAGAAAUAAUAUUGAAAAGAUAAUACCUAAUGCUGAAAGGCUACCGAGGAAGAGAUCUUGUGAAUUUCCAGGAUCAGGUUUCAAGAUGACCUGCAGGUAUGGUAGGACAAAACAUAUAUAUUUAAACCAAAAAAGCUACAAAACAUUGAACUGCAGGGAAGUAACAUGCAGUUCUUGAAUAUAGAGCAUGUUAUUAAUCAAAAAAACCUGAAAUUGAGUGUGACGUUGAAGCCUAUUGGGAUUGUCUCCAUAACGGCUGUCAUCAGGUCGUAUACUUGGCUCCACAUACCUUCCAUGAAAAUUUUCAUAAUUAACUACACAUGGUACACAAAACACAAAUGUUUUAUCCAAUUCUCUUUUUACAAUUCAAUAUAAAGACCUAUAAUAAUAAGAUCAAUCAAUAUUUACCCCAUCUAAAGAACAUUACUAUUAGCAAGAGCAAUUAAACAACAGCACAACAUCUACGCAAUCCUUGAUAUUUAUCCAUGUCCCUAAUUCAUAGAUAAAAAAAGUCACUCUAAAAGCAUCAUAUUCAAACCAUAUGAACAUACACCCUCUCCACUUUCCUAGUUCGGUGGAACUGCAAGCAGAACUUUUUUUGGAAAAUUUAUCUUGCAAAUUAAAGUAGUUCAUGUAAUGUAUGUGUGACAACUUCACAACUUGGAUUAGUUAGAAUUGUUUCAUUAGACAUAGAAAUAUCAGUAACGUGUUCAAAAACUAUGAGAACACUGAAUGAUGUUUCCCUGUACAAAUGCUUGGUUUAAUUUAAUUAGAUUUUAAGCUGGGAAUCAAACAUCAAACGACAUUAGAAUUUUGAUCCAACCGGUGGCAUGGGAUUGACUAAGCAUUAAAUCAAUGAACAAAAGUGUUGGAGAAGCUAUUCAUAAGAUAAAUAAAGAUGACAUGCUUCAAGCGUCAACUCCUCCCUAUAACAUCCUUAGGUCAUCUUUGCUUUGGGGGUUUAAGGGUGGAAUAAAGGGUUUAUUCCACCCUUAUCUCCCAAACAAAAAAAAAAAUUGGUGGGUACACUAGUUCCCACCCCUUAACGGGCUAGCCCGUUAAGGGGUGGGAACUAGUGUACCCACCCCAAGGUGGGCCCAGCUUGUUCCACCCGUGGAGAGAGAGAGAGAGAGAGAGAGAGAAUUUUUAAUUUAUUAUAAAUUUAAAUUUCGUAAGUUAAAAAAUUAAAUUUUAUAAUUUUUAAAAUUACAAAAUUAAAAAUUUAAAUUUUAAAUUAUUUAAUUUUAAAUUUUAAAUUUUGAUAUUUUAAUUUUUUUAUAUUUAGAAUUUGAUAUUUUGUAUUUUUAAAUUAAAAUUUCAUCUUAAAUUUAAAGUUUAAAAUUUAAAAUUUUAAUUUUUUAAAAUUGUAAAUUUUAAAUUUUAAAUUUUAAAAGUUUAUAUUUUAUUCUAAAAUAUAAAUAUAAAAUAUAAAAAUUCAAAUUCUAAUAUAAAGAAAGGGAUAAUAUCAUUAUUUUUUAUUUAUAACUACCCACUUUAAUUCUUAUUUCAUCUUACCUAACCAAACGCUAUUUUUUUAUUCCCAGGAAUAACCCAAAUUUCAUCCAAACGCAAAAUUGAUCUACUCCCCGCUUAUUUCUCAAUUUAUACCUAUCCCUGGAAUAGCCGCUUUUUGCUUAUCCCUGAACCAAACAAUACCUUAGAAAAUCUGGAUAAAUUUAAUCGGAAUCUUCAUUCGCCCUUUUUCUUCUUAUAAAGUAAAAAGUGUUGCAAUAGUUCAGGAAGCCACAAUGUUAGCCCAGAAGCAUGGUUAGAGUGACACUAUUUAUUGAUAGAGUUUGUAAGGUGGUUACUAGUUUUCAUUAGCUUCUUGUUUUGUCUUUUCUUGUUAUUUACCAACAAUGUCUUUUUGAGCCGUCAUUGUGAAAUAGUUUUAUCUCUCCUGAAAUAACAGCCUAUUAUCACAUCAUCUUGUGUGCCACUGAUAAAUUUCUUGUUGAAACCAUCAUCUCUGAGAAUCAAAUUAACCCAAUCAUAGAGUUGAUAUCAGUCAGAUGAACUGUAGUUUACAAUAAUAGAACUUAUAUAAAGAGCGAAAUGCACGAUAAUAGUGGGGAAGGAAACACAGAAUAGUUUGUAUUGAACUGCAAUUUAAAGUCAAAAUUAUUAUACAUAUGAACACAUGAUUUUUUUCAUGUCAUACUUAUUAGCUUGAAUAAUAUUCAAUCAAUUAGAAUUGUUGAGCAUUAGGAUUUAGCCAAAUAUGAUGCAUCUUUUGGUAGAUUUCUAGUCAGUAGAUCUAUGUUUUGGCCCUCUAAGAAAGAAGAGGGAUGUAAAGAGUAAGGUGGUGUGCAUCGGAAGUUAUUCUAAUAAGAACCAUGGCAACAAAUUAUUUCUUCGUUCUUUAUUAUGGUUUAUCUGUUCAUGCAUAAUAACAAUGAUUCCAUGGCAAUCAUAAAUAUUAGAAAUCACCAUACGAAAGCAUACUUACGCAACAUUCCAAGGUUCCGGUCCUAAUACUCUCAAGAAUGUCAAGGGAUUCAUCGUCCCAGCUCCAACCUGUUGAUACAACAAAACCAACAAAAUUACCAUCGAGAAUCAAUAAUUCUAAACCAAAAGAAAUCCUCAUAUUUACAAGACUUAUUUCAGGAAGCAGCAUUAGUAAUUCAUUUUCAAAAGUAAAUAUCUCUAAAUAUGUAAAACAUUUUCAAUAUUUCCGAGCCCGAUAAAGUAACUAAAGCCUAUGCUCUUCUUUUUUCUAUGCAAACCAUGAUUAGGGCUUCUGUCUCAAAAAAGCCACAUUUGCACAUGCCCUAAGCUUAAGAGCAACAAAAAAAAUAUUAGAAGCUAACAGAGCACAAGCCAUUACCUCUGUAUUGCUACAUUGCAUUAUAGAACAACCCACAGAAGCCCAAUACUCCUGCAGUAUGGAAUUUUAAAGAGGAUAUCAAAAUAAGAAGCAUGAUAAGUCAAAAAAUAGCAACUGAAAAAAAAAAAAAAAAAAUUCAAAGAUGAUAUUGCUGCAAAAGAUACUAGCUUAUGAAGUUAAACAUGAAUGACUUAUCAAGAAUUUCACAAGAAACCACAAAAUUCACCAUAAUGAAGUCAAACUUAACAGUAUAUCAUGUAUAUGAGAUAGUUAUGCACAAUAAUUACCAACUUUUCUAGCUACUCUAACACCAUAUGUAAUGGCCCGACCAGCCCACUAGAAAAAACAACCAACCAAACUCAAACCACCAGCCCAAAAUGCUUAAGCCCAACUGACUAGUACCAGCAUAGUAGUUAUAGCGCUCAAACUCUCCCACAUUCUUCAAUGCGGGAGUAUGAGGGCCUUGUGGCCCUAUUCAGAUGUCAGAGUAAGUUAUCCAGUGAUAAUUCAUGCACUACGAGGAUUUUCUCAUGUGAUUGCAAGCUAGGAGUUUUACUUUAACCCAUUCAAAGAUCUUGGCAUCGAUGAUUUGGUAGAACAGUGUAUUUCACCUACUGGGUGGUUUCUCUCAUUCCAAAAAAAAAAAGGACUUAAAAGGCUGAAUAAGGUAUGCUCUUCUAGACAUCUGAUCAUAUAACUCAUCUACCAAAUACCCAAUACUAUAAGCUUCUUCAAUAAAUCAAAAAGACGCAUUCAAAAAAGCGACAAACACUAACUGGUCGAAUCAUUAUAAGUGGUUCCACUACCGUCUUAUACCGUUGGUAGGAAAACUCUAAAUUGCUCUCCAGAUUUCUGGACCUUCUAAAGUAUCAAAGCAGGUUCGUUUGGGCAGCGCGCAAAUCCAAACAAGGUUGUAAUGGUGUAGUUUAAUGCUGUCACAAGUAAGUGCUUUUAGGAAUACUAUGUUAAUGUUUCUUCUCCAGCUUUCGUCGGCAAUUUUGAGACUCAGAAACUCGUUUCGGAUUUUGUGGCGACAGCCAGUGAAGCUUCAUUCUGUCAGAAAAGCUGAAAUCAAAGGAAGAGGCGGAGUGGAACCUGAAGGCGCUGAAUGGCCUGCUGGAAUGUCAGAAUGGAAGAAGCCUUUCUGCCGUCUUCUGGAAGCUUCGGCUCGGGCAGAGGAGCGGAAGAGGCGACAGCAAAGGAGGAGGAGGAGGAGGUCGAGGCGUCGUUGCCGGCGGAGGCGAGCACGGAGAAGCCACGCGCAGACGGGGGCUUGGAGGGGCGAGCGGGGAUGGGUUUCGAGGGGAAGACAGGGCGGGAGUUGGUAAUGGCGGGGAGAGCGGAGGCGGAGGAGAGAAACAGAGACAUUUUCUGUGGGGUUAAGGGGGGAGUGCGGGCGGCGAGAACGGUGGGAUAAGGCAAGAGCGGGAAGGAAGAAAGGGGGGAUAGGUGGUUGGAUGCGCCCGCUUGGUCCGAUUUCUAUCCGAAGGGGUUUCUUAUUCUUCUUCUUUUUUUUUUUCUUUUUUUUUUUUUUUUUUUUGAUAGACAAAAAAAAUUAAAUUAAAUUAAAUUAAUUAAAAAUACAAAGCCAGAUACAACUAGGAUGUAAGUGGAUCGUGCCGGGCGAGCACGGCCCACAUUUUUUAGGCCAAACCGGAUAGUGCCCGCCCGCCCGGCCGGCUUCAAUUUCGAGCCAUGCCUGCCGGGCCGGCCCGAGUUCCAGCCUCCGACCCGCACGGCCCUUUGGCCUGGAAGCACGGCCGUGCCGGGCCGGACUGUGCUUUAGACUGGCCUUUUAAAAUAUUUAUUUUAAAAUUUUUUUAAAAAAAUUAUUUAAAUUUGAUUAAAUCAUUAAAAUUUAUAAAAAUAAUUAUAAUAAAGUAAAUAUUUAAUUUUAAAAAUUAAAUAAAUUUGUAUUUUUGAAAAAAAGAAUUUCAAAGGGCCCAGGGUUUCCGAGCGAGGUGGGAUUUUUGGGGAGGAGAGGCCGAGGAGGAGUAGUGGGUGCCGGGGGAGGAGGUCGGGGAGGUGAGAGGACUGUCGACAGGAUGGGGGCUGGAGCCAAGACCUUGGUGCCGGAGGAGGCAGGGGCGCGCGGGGGUCUCGCGGGCGGCGCCGGGCCGCAGGCGGGGCGCCACGGGAGGCGGCAUGAGCGCCUUUCUCCCAAGGUCUUCAAGGUCUAACCUUGGAGGAGCAGGAGGGCAAGCCCAUGCCUUGGGGGCGGGCCGUGUGGCUGUGGCACGGCCCAAGCGGCAUUGCCGUGCCGGGCCACCCACCUCUCCUCAGCCCGUCGUGCCGUGUCAGGUCACCACCUCUCCUCAGCCCGUCGUGCGCGUGUCAGGCCACCCACCUCUCCUCAGCCCGGACCGUCAGCCACAGAGGAGCGGCCCAGUACGGCCCAGAGGCUCGGGCGGGCCCGGCGGGGGUGCUACAAUACCGUGUCAUGCUGUAGCUGGCCGAGGCCAUGUCGUGUGCCACCCGGCCCGUUUUACAUUCCUAGUACAACUAGGGAUGUCAACGGCUACGGAUAUUCGAAAUUUUACCGAAUCAAAUCCGAAUGGAAUGGAUUUAUUCGAUACUAAAUGGAUAUGAUUUGGAUAUGGAUAUAAAAAAUAAAAUCCGACGGAUAUGCAUUUUGACUGUACCCAAAUCCGAAUCCGAACGCCAUCCAAAUCUGAAUGUAUUUUACAUUAUAAUAUAGUAUAUUACUAUAUAUAUAUAUAUAUAUAUAUAUAUAUAUAAAUUUGAUGUUAUUUUUAAAUUUGUAUUCUAAAAAUUUAGAUUUAAUGUAAUAUAUUUGAAAUAUUGAAAAUAAAUAAAUAAUUAUUUAGGGUUCGGAUUUUCGGAUUUGGGUUUCGAAUUUUUGGUCGGGUUCGAAUUUGGAUAUGGAUUUUUAAAAUCCAUCAGGUUCGAGUUUGGGUUCGGAUUUGGGUUUUAGGUUUCGGGUUUGGAGUCGGGUUCGGAUUCGAGUUUUUGAAAAUCCAUCCCGAAUCCGACUCGUUGACGUCCCUAGGUACAACCCUAGCAUAAGUGCAAGAUAUAUUUCUAAACCUCUCUCUAAGACUAGAAUGCGUUCACUUGCCAUAUAUUUAACCCCUCAAAAAAAUAUAUGUAAAUAGUCCUAAUAAAAUAAUAAUUACUAAAAUGACCCUUUACUUAUUCAUGCAAAUGUUACACUGAACAAGAAAGUGUUAGUUUGACAUUUUAAUUGAAUAUGACAAUCUAUUUAUCGUGACCUAUUAUUUUAAGAAUGUACGGUGAUUGGAUUGGCAUGAAAAUUUUGAAAAAAUAUGAUAAGUAGUUAUCAUGUUUAGGAUACAAAAAUAUAAUCUUCAUCAUCUUUGGAUAAUAAUUAUUGGAACUCGGUGAAUGGCUUGUCAUGUUUUAAGCAUCAACCCAUGUUGUAAAUAUUUGCAUUUUAAUAAUCUUGUCAUAACAACUAGAUACAUAUAGUUUCAAUUUCAUUACCUAAUACUUACUCCUCCAACUACAUCUCAAUAAUAUAUAAAAAUUUACACAUCAAGUCAAUAAUAUACAAAAGGAAUAUUCUCAUUUUCUAUUCAAAUAUGCAAAAGUCACUAUAAUAAAAAAAAAAAAAAAUAAUUUGUAUAUUAUUAUCAAAUUUAUGUAGAAGGGUGUGGCGUCCUCCUCCUAGUCCCUCUCUCGUUUUGAUCUUGACUAGAUUUGCACCCGCAUUGAUAACCACGUCCUUGACUAUAAUCAGCAAUGACAGGAUUAUUGUCACCAUCGAAGAGUUAGUGAGCUCAAUAACUUUCAACUAAUCAAGAUGCUCAACAGUAGUGUCCUCAUAACUGGUUGAGUGUCCUAUAUCUCAAGUGCCAUCAUGCUCAAGCAUAGCAUGUAUAAUAUUUCUGGCUAUUUAAAAAUAGAAGAUUAGAAUUGAUCUGCACACAAAAAAAAAAAACAACUGUAGGAACUAAUGAUAAACAAAAUAUGGUCGUCAAGAUGAAAAUAUGAAUGAAGAUGACUCUAACAGUAAAGAGAAGAUGCAUGAUGUGCUAAUAGCUUUUUAUUUUUAGUUGUCCAUACUUUUUUACAGGAUUAAUUUAUUAUUUAAUCAAUUUCAAAAUAUCUAGAAAAUUAGAAAUUAAUAUUAUUAUGAUGAUGGGCUAAUCACAUCAAAUAACAUAAUCCAAAUUUUUGGCUUAAACUUCUCAAGGUAACAAAGAAAAAUAAAUUUGUCCAAUCUAAAAUCUCUUAUUGAGUAAAAAUAAUUCAUAUAUUAUGGUAAUUAAGUUGUAUAUGAAUGCAAAUAAUAAUAUAAACACUACUAUGCACAAACUUCAAAACUAGUAGGCAAUUCAGCAUGCAAUUCAUUAUAAUGUUGAAAGCUUGUUAUCAAGAAAUCUAAUAAGAUUAUAAGUUAACUAUUUAUAAACUUAUGAAUUGGGAACUCGAAAUCACCUUAGAGUGUUCCCCAUAUCCCAUGGCCAGUGGAUCCUACUUUUAAUUACCAUAUUUGUAGGCUCCCUAAGAUGCAUGUGGGCCCCACAAAUUUGCUUCAUAUUCUAGUUCCCCAUAUGUAUGUAGGCCCCACAAAUUUGCUUUCUAUUAAAUCCUCGCUAUUCCCAUUAAAUACGGUUGCGUCAUUCUGGCUUUUUGGAUAUUAAUGUGGUUUGAUGUCAUUUGGCCCUCUGUUGUUCUCGUUUGCUCUACCGUUCUAUUUUCUCCCUCUCGCUUGCAGCCUCCAUCGUGGCAAGUUCGCCGUUAUCUCCAUUUUUUUAGGACAAGUGUGGCUAUCUUUACCAUGACGAGUGCGGAGUGGCCUUGUCGUUAUCUCCACCGUGGCCUAGCGAGGUAGUUGGUAUGCUUUGGCCUACCUUGGUUUCCUACGAGAGUUUUUGUUGUCUCUGGUAGCAGCCCCUAUGUGCUCCUAUAUGACAUUCCCUUCUGUAAUUCGUUGAAGUGCCGUGGAAGCCAAUGGAAGGUGUCGAUGGCUCGGAGGGUACAACGGACACUGAUAGGAUGUAUAGCCUCCACAUCUGGGUGUCUGUCAUAUUCCUUUCUUCCUUUCCUCUUAAACAGUUCGGUCUCUUGCUUAAAGAGAUGCCUGGGUUGUUAUAAAUGUUAAGGGUGCGUUUGGUUUGCGUUAUCUUUUAAAGAUUCCUAGUAAUCCAAUGGGAAUAAAAAAAUAUGACAGUGUUUGGCUAAACGCACUAAGUAAUCUAGUUGGUAAUAUUGGAUUCACUUGGGAAUAAGAUUCACCCCAAAGUACUAAUCUCAUUCUUUUGAGGGAGGGUGGGUAUCCUCAUAUUAAUGGAUUGGGAUAAGCAUAAUAUAUCUAAUCUCUUUCUUUCUUCUUACCCGCCGGCUAAUUGAUAUUAUUUUUAUUUACACUCUAACCUUAUAUCUCUCUCUAAACUUAUUUUUCUCUCCAAAAUUCAACUUUUUUUUCUCUCUCUAGACUAAGCUUUCUCUCUCUCUCUCUCUCUUUCUAAAAUUUCAACUUUCUCACUCCCUCUAGUUUCGACUAUAUUUUUCUUUCUAUUUUUUUAAUUAUGCUCUCUCUCUCUAACUUAUACUCUUUCUCCCUUUUUUCUAAAAAGAUGUUGAAACUUUUGGUAACAUUAUCUAAAAUUAAUUAAAUAAAUAAAUUAAUUAAUUGUAUAUUUUUUAUAAUAUUAAAUAACAUGACUAAUUAAUAUUACCGUGCGAACCAAAUACAGGAAUUCCACAUUCUUAGUAAUAAGAUGAAUAGAAAUAAGAUUCUCGGAUAUCUUUUAUUCCUAGUAAUCUUUCAUAAUGCGAACCAAACGCACCCUAAAGAUAAUAGAUAAGAAUAAGUCUAUUCUACAUGUUUUGAGGAAUAUCUCAACCAACUAUAUCUAUUGAUUUGUUUCUUCGGCUUUGAAUAUAAAAAACAUAAUCAUCAUUCAUGUAUAUAUAUGUAACAUAAACUAUGAAUGAAGAUAGAGAUGUGAUUUCUCUCUAAAGAGCCAUAUCAACUUUUUUAACCUAUUGAGAGUGCUUAGUAUUCUUUUCUCACACCUAGAUCUCCAUAUAUAUAUAUAUAUAUAUAUAUAUAUAUAUAUAUAUACAUAUAACUACCCUGGAAUACUAUCAAUAGCACCAAACUAUUGGUGCUAUUGAUUUUUUAGCUCUUGGAUUGAGAAAUGUGUGGUUAGAAUGAUGUGGGCCCCCUAGGGUUGAGUGAGUGGUUGGUUGAAUAGUAUAAUUUAACGGGUAAAAAUAAUCAAACGGUUAAAUCUAACGGUGGAAAACUCAAUAGUACCAAAUCCUUGGUGCUAUCGAUAGUACCCCAGCCGGACUCUUGAAUGCGUCUGGUAUGCUUCUGGAAGCACGGAGUGCUCCGUGCUUCCAAGUUGUUUUCGAUGUAGGCACUUUCGAAUCGACGAUCAGCUCCGUUAGACUUGAUCUAGAGUAUUUUAACUAUCUAGAAAAUAAAUUUUGUGAUUUUUUUAUAUUAUUUGCCUAGUGAUCAAAGUGGCUCAAAAUCAAUGGCUGAAAAUAAAAAUCUUACAAAAUAUGAUGAUAUGACAUUAAAAUUUUAGAUAAAAAAUAUUGAUCUUGUUUUAUAUAGUAUAAAGAAUUUUCUAUCAAAAUUUUACGUGAUUUGAAUAUUUCUACACUGUUAAACUUGCAAACGGCUCACCACGGCCAUUAAAAUUGUUGAUUUUGAGCCGCUUCGAUCACUAGGCAAAUGAUAUCGAAAAACCACAAAAUUUAUUUUCUAGGUACUUCAAAUACUCUAGAUCAAGUUUAAUGGAGCCGAUCGUCGAUUCGAAAGUCCCAACAUCAAAAACGACUUGGAAGCACGGAAGGCUCCGUGCUUCCAGAAGCAUACCAGCUCACUCUACACACAAUAUACACACACACACACACACACAUAUACAUACAUAUAGUAGGGCUACUGCACUAUUAGGAGCACAGCAGCCCUUGUGCUUCUAAGUUCUUAACCGCCCAUCAAAUUUGAUGGGUGGUUAGGGUGAAAGGGAGAAGAUUAAUUGGAGAGAAAUUGAGUUUCUCAAUUUAUCUUCUCUUUGAAUUUCUCUUCAAUUUCACUUCUCCCAUUCAUCCUUACCACCCAUCAAAUUUGAUGGACGGUUAAGAAUUUAGGAGCACAAGGGCUACUAUGCUCCUAAUAGUACAGUAGCCCUACUCUAUAUACAUAUAUAUAUAUAGAGAGAGAGCUAGGCUGGUAUAUUAUCGGUAGCAUGGAGGCCUCCGUGCUACCAAAUUGUUUUUAAUGAUGCGGCUUCUAAAUCGAUGAUGCGGCUUCUAAAUCGAUGGAGGACUUGAUCUACACUAUUAAAAGUAUUUGGAAAUUAAAUUUCAUAAUUUUUCGACAUCAUUUGGCUAGUGAUCAAAAGGUCUCAAAAUUGAGAAUUUUAAUGGUAGAUGUGAUGCGUUUGUGAAUUUAACGGUGUAAAACAAUCCAAAUCUAAUGAAAUUUUUAUAAAAAAUUCUUUUCACUAUUUAGAGUAAGAUCAGUGUCUCUGAUCUUAAAUUCAAGUCUUUUAUCAUUAUUUUUUAUGAGAUUUUUAUUUUUAGCCGUUUAUUUUUAAACUACUCGUUUGAUAGGUAAAUGAUGUCGAAAAAUUAUAAAAUUUAGUUUCCAAAUACUUUCAAUAGUCUAGAUCAUAUCUAACAGAACCAAUCGUCGAUUUGAAAGCUGCAUCAUUGAAAACAACUCGGUAGCACGGACGCCUCCGUGUUACCGAUAGUAUACCAGCCUGGCUCUAUAUAUAUAUAUAUACAUAUAUAUAUGCAUGUACAUAUAUAUAUGUACAUGCAUGUAUAUAUGUAUAUAUAUAUAUAUGUACAUGUACAUAUAUAUAGAGUGCAGCUACUAUACUCUUAUGAGUAUAGUAGCUGUUGUACUCAUAACUUUUUAACCAUCAGAUCUUGAUUCGUGCAGAUCUGACACCACCUAGACUCACCACUCCUUCUUACCCCUACUCCUCCCCACUCCCUCUUCCUGACGUAACCCUUCGCACGUCCAGACUAACCCCUUUUUUCUUUUUUUUUUCUUUUCCUUCCCCCUACCUGAUUGCCUUCCGAGGCAAUCGGAAGAGGAGGUAGUCUAGACCGUGUGUAUAGUUUCGGUUAUACUACCUCNCCCGCUGCGGCGGCAACCGUGCGGGCAGCAUACCGGCCGCCCCUCCCACGGCGACGAGCAUGUGGGUCAGUCCCCUCCUCGGCUGCGGCACACGUGCGGGUCCCCGGCUACGGCGAACGUGCGAGUCCCUCUUUGGUAAUGUUUUCUUUUUUGUCAAUUUUUUUUAUUUGCAUUUUUUUUUCAUAGCAAAUCUCUUUCUCAUCAUAUUUUUAUAUAUAUGGAUAUGAACAGCAAGUAAUCAUAGUAUUAGAAUAAUUAGACAUAUUAGAACAGCAAGUGAAAAUAAAUCCUGGGAUGACAAUGAAAAAAUUAGAGUAAUGUUUGAUAGAAUUAGAAUAAUUAGACAUAGUAUCCAUUAUAUAUGUGAAUCUUCUUCUUAAAAAUUUAGUUUGCUGUAAGUUCUUGAAUUUCAUUUUUAUUUAUCUAUUUGUUUCAUAGAUCUAUUACGGAUGGAUAUUACAAGUUCUAAUAAUCCUACUUGUGAUGGGAAUGGUCGCUCUCGAGUGGCUUCAUCAAGUUUCGAAGUUGACGAUGGUGUAAUUAGGAGUUCAUCUUUAAUGAUUUUAAAUACUAGUGAAGCAAGUGAUCUUACCUCUGAGAAUGAGCCAAUUGAUCAACUAAAUGAAGAAAAUUUAAAUCAACAAGUAGGUCAAAUAGAAAUAGGAAAUGAUGAGCCAUAUGUUGAUCAGGUAUUUUCUUCUAUUGAUGAAGUAAAGAGGUUCUAUAAUGUAUAUGCCUUCAAGACAGAAUUUAGCAUAAGAAAUGCGACCCACUAUAAAGCAAAGAGGCUUGAUGGUUUGGUUACAUCAAUCACAUACACAUGCUCAAAAGAAGGACAUGCAAAACCUCCAACUCAAAAGAAAGAAACAGAAAUAGUUUCUGAAACAAAUAGAACUCCUCAGAAGGAGUUCCCAAAUCAGCGAACAGGUUGUAAGGCACUUAUGAGAUUAAGAAUGAUCGAGGAUGGAAAAUGGAUAGUUAUGUGACACCCCAAUAGUCCCACAUCGGAUGAGAAUGGGGUUGUCAUUGGGUUUAUAAGAGACUUAGACACUAGUAAUAAUAACUGGGCUUAAGCAUUUUGGGCUGUUGACUGGGCCCAACGAGUUAUUAUUGCUAGUGGGCUGGGUCGUUAUAAGUUAUUACAUUUCACAAGGAUCACAACCAUGAAUUGAUUGUAAGCCCCUUCUAAAACACGUUAUUUUCGAUCACACCGCUCCAUUACCAAUGAGUAAAAGGAAGUAAUAAAUAUGUUAAGCAAACAAAAUAUUUCCACAUCUCAAAUAAUGUCUUUUAUGACGGCACGAGAGGGAGGAAUGCAAAAUAUCCAUUUUACAAGAAAGGACUUGAUUAAUACAAUCGUCGAAAAGAAUAGAAGUCUCAACGGCAUUGAUGUUGCAAGUGUUCUAAACUAUUUUCGAGAGCUUCAACUAUCGGAUCUAUCAUUUUUUUAUGCUAUAGAUGUGGACGAGGAGCACACAACACGAAAUUUAUUUUGGAUUGACGGGAGGUCGAGAAUGGCAUACCAAUACUUUUCGGAUGUGGUGACUUUUGACACAACAUAUAUGACUAACAAAUAUAGUAUGCCAUUUGCACCAUUUAUUGGAGUUAAUCAUCACAAACAAUAUACUUUUUUUGGUUGUGCCUUGCUUAGAGAUGAGACUGCUAAUACUUUUUGUUGGCUAUUUAAAACUUGGUUGAAAGCAAUGUGUGAUCGGCAUCCAGGAGCAAUUAUUACAGAUCAAGACCCUGCCAUGCAAAAAGCGAUUGAACAAAUUUUUCCGAAUACAAUUCAUAGAUGUUGUCAGUGGCACAUAAUGAGAAAAGCACGAGAGCACUUAGGAGUAUUAUAUUCUUCGAAGAUAGGUUUUAAAGAUGAGUUGCAUUCAUGCAUAAAUGAUAGCUUGACUAUUGAAGAAUUUUAAAGUGGGUGGGAAUCUAUGCUUCAAAAGUAUAAUUUGCAUGAUAAUAACUAUUUUCGUGUGCAAUGGAAGAGCCGCAGUCAAUGGACCCCUGUUUAUUUUCGAAAUACAUUUUUCGCUAAUAUGUCUACUUCUCAACGAAGCGAAGGUAUGAAUGCUUUAUUGAAAAUAUUGUUAUUAUUUAUAUAUAUAUAUAUAUAAUAUAUAUAUAUAUAAUAUAUAUAGUAAUAUAUAAUAUCCAGUACAUACAUAAAGAGCAGAAGCGCAAUAUAUUAACUCAUCUUGCGGAGGGGUGAAAAAUAUGAAAUAGCACAAUUCCAAACUAAUUGAGAGAUAAAUUAAGACUCAUAUAUUUCAUCAUCCAUAGUUUUCAAAAAUGAAACUAACAAAGUAUUGAAUUGUCAUCCAUCCGAUUACAUCUAAUCAUACAACAAACUAAGCAACAUUUUAAACGCAUCAAAGUUCCAAAAUAUGAAAAUUAAAUAGAAAAAGUUGUUGAGAGUUUUGUGUUUUCCAAACGAAGACCCAAAAUGAUAAAAUACUUGACGGCACGCCUAAUCAACGUUGGAUCAGAUUUUCAAUCCUUCAACUUAUCACCAUCAAUUACCUCUACAAUAAGAUAAGGUAUGUAUUAGACUAAUCAACGAGAAUAAUCAUAUAUGAAUGUCAAUUAAAAUCUUAUAACUAUGAUUACUGUGAAAGACAGAGGAACUUUAACUAAGUCUAUGAAAUGAAGUAUAUAAAAGAUAAUUAUGUAAAGAUGCAUAUAUAAAGACUAUCAAGUUUAUUAAAGUCUAAGAGAAAUAUUUAAAAACAAACCUUCAGUGGAGAAGGUGAGGAGAAAUAUUAUGAUGUUGCUGGAGGAGCAUUCCUUAAUUUUUAGUAGUUCCGCUCCAUUCCACCAUACAACUCCUAAGGUCUGAUUUUCCUUCUGAGAUUUACACAGAGUUUGGCAUUAAGUUCAGACUCUAGAAAAGUAAGAAGGUUUUCACAAUCAGUCGGCUUCACACACCUCCAUAGCAAACAACAUGUUGACGAAUUGAUUCCAAAGCAUUUUUCAAUGACUACUAUAUUGGAUAGUUCCAGUUUGCUGAUUUGUGAGGCUUCAAGUAAUUUCUUUUUUUUUUUUUUUUUGAGUUAUGGAUAGCUUGUUUGUUUGUUUUUUUGGUGGUCAUUUUGGUUGUAUGACUCAAACUAUUUGAGUUAUGGAUAGCUUGUUUGUUUGUUUUUUUGGUGGUCAUUUUGGUUGUAUGACUCAAACUAUGAACUUAAUUUUAAAGUAUUUAGCUUAUGGAUUAUGAUGUAUAAUGCUUUAUUUUUUAUGGAAUUUGGUCGGCAUAUAUAGCUGUUAUGAUCAUAUGUCAACCUGCUUGCAUCAAUGUGUAAAAUUGAUGAACUUUUAUUAAAUGACUUCUACAUGCUGAAAGGAAAAAUUGCAACAUUUUUUUUUACUUUUAUUGGUGAAUAAUUAAUAAAAUAAAAAAAUUUUAUGAUUUUUCAAACUGUCGGAAAUUACUAUUUGCUGGCACUUUAGAAUGUCUGAAAAAAUAUUUCUACCGGUAAUAUUAGCUGCCAUCAAAUAAUCUUUUGAUAGUAGCUAAGAUUGCCGCCAAAUAUCUAUUUGCUGGUAAUUGAAAGAGCCGCCAAUGUAUUAUUUGCUGGCAUUUAAAUUGCCAUGAUAAAUAGUAUUUUUUGGCACUUCAAACUGCCAUUAAAAGAUUGUUUUGCCGGCUCUUUUCUUUUGCCGACAGUUACUUUCGAGGCCAUUUACAAACUGCCAGCAUUGAUCUUUGCCGGCAUUUUGCACUACUUUUGCUGGCCCUUUUGGUGGCCCUUAAACAUGGUUUUUCUUGUAGUGAUUCUUCAAAAUAAAAUUUAAUAUACAAAAUUAGUUAUAUAAGAAUGCACAAAUAGAAUCAAUUAUAACAAAAGUAAGUGCAAAGACUUACAUAUUUCUUGUUUGUAUUAUCUCCUUCAAGUUGUCCACUUUUUUUCGAGUCUCAAAAAAAAUUGUCGCUAAGCUUGGUGGAUUACCAUCUUUGCCUCCCUACACAAAACAUUGGUUUAUAUCAAUUAAUGACUACAACAAAAUGCUAAAAGCUUAUUAUGUCAAUUUACAUUACCUUUUUAUAAAUAAUUUGUCGGAAUGGCUUACUACCAGUACGAUGGGGCAUUGAUAGUUUGGCUCUAUUUUCUGAGUUUCUCUUACUUGCCGCCUGCAUUUAUCAAAUAGAACACAAUUGCUAAAUUUUAAAACAAUAUUAUAAAGUGUAAAACCAAUAUUGUGAAAAAGACAACAUACUAAAAAUGGAACUAAUAGCUCUUACGAAACAAAAUAACAUACUAGAAAUUUUUCACUAAAAAAAUGCUCUUUAACCAGCCACUCCCAAUCCUCUCGGUGUACACCUUCUGGAACAAUCUUUAGGGCCUCCUGCAUAUUCUCGCACGGCUUUAUAAAUUUACGAUGCAAGUCUCCUCUCCAUUUGUUCCAUAGUUCAUUCAUAUGUUCUAAAGUUACAUCUUGAUAAGUCUCCAUAUCCUUAUUCUGAAACUUGUCCUACGAAGAAAAAUCGUUGUCCAUAAAUUUAUAUAUAAUUGAUAUAAUAUUAGAAAAUAAUAAUAAUAAAUUUAAGUAGUAAACAUAAAGAGUUAAGGUAUAAUAUUUUACCAGCACUGCUGCCCACAUGUGGUUCUUCUCUGAUUCCCCAAUUUCUUUUCAUGAAUGAAUACGUAGUGGGCAAAUAUUGCGAUCACGCACAAUCAUGCCUAAGUGUCUUGAAAAUGUCUUAUGAUUCGUUCCAGUAGCACGAUUGUUGUAGAAAGUUACUUCCAACUUCUCACCACUUUUUAACUUUGCAACUUUCUUACAUUUAUUUUUACCUCGCCCUUUUCUUUUUUUUUGAGUAGCUGCAGAAUCUAAAAAAUUAUCAAAUAGUUAUAAAAGUACUCAAGUAUACACACUACAUAAAAUAUUUUCUAACUACAGAAAAGAAUGAAAUACAAAAACUUUAUGGUUGCUUCUACAAGUCAUUUGUAUCAACUAACAAAUAAUUUUAUUCAGAUAUUAUAUAGAUCUCUCAACAAAGUUGCAACUUAUAUAUAAAAUUUACUAAAAAUAGUGCAAUGGAUAUCAACUAACAAAUAUUGCCAUUCUAUAGUUUCUUAAAAAAUAACAGAGGAAUGCGACUGUAGAAAUUGUGAAAUAUGAAAGGAAGCAUUGUAUAAUUGAACCAUAAAUAGAAAAUGACCCAAAAGAUAUAAACAAUACACCUAAAUGGCCUAAAUAUAUCUCCUCUAUUGAGUUAAUAGCAACAAUCCUAAGGAGUCACAGAUCAAGGCAUAAUCAUACUAAUAUUUAAAGCUCAUAAAAAAUCGUAAGCUAUCACAAUAAUAAAUUUUCAAACAAUAAUGCAGCAUAUUGGGUUCAAGUUUCCAAAAUUCUCACAUAUAUUAGACUCUCGGCAUAGAUUAACAACAGAUUUGAAGAAUACUAAAAAAUAUGCCUUUACAGUAAGGUUUAUCAACGACAAGCACAACUUCUGACCAUUUUACCUAAUUGAUUCUUUUAUGAUUGCAACAAGCAUCACAACAAUGUAUGUCUUUUCCACAUGGUUCCAAUAGCAAAAGGGAUCAAUGACUUAUUGCAUGGGUCCCUUUUGAAAGUUAUGUAUCUUUUUUGUCUCAUUGUUAAAUUUAUUUCACUGUACAUGUGAUAAGUAGAGUCAGUACUUUAGAUAUAUUUUAAUUUUUAUGUACUAGCUAGGGACAAAAGAUUAUUUAAGAAAUUACAUAAAAAUUAUCAUCCCAACUAUCUUCCUCAAAAGAUUAUUUAAUUUUUAUGUACUAAUUUUCUGUCCACUUCACAUUUCCCCCUUUAAGAGUCCAGUAAAGACAAAAAUAAAUUUUAUAACAAAAUAAAUAUUGAAGUAAGAAUGAAACCAACCACAAUAUAUCUCGGCAAUCUUGUGGGGGCGAGGGAGCCGGCGAAGUCGGUGAGAUCUCGUGGCGAAAGCGGCAGUGAAAAGUCAGUGAGUUUCGGGGUGACGGCGGCGUUGACGUCGUGCAGUUUUGGGGCGACGUCGGCUGCGACACUGAGCGAGAGAGCGGCGACAAGUCAGGGGUUUGAGGCAGGUGGCAAUUCCAAGCGUGAGUCCCGCGCGCGGCGUGCGAGAGGUGAGGAGGAAUGGUGGCCACAGCGAGAGCAGGAAGUCGGCGGCGAUUGAAGGUUCAUGCGAGCAGGUGGUGAUGGGAGGUUCGUGCGAUCGGGCACUCUUGGAAGAGGAAGAGCCUAGGGCUAAUUAAUUAGGGGCGGCAACAAUUGGGGUUCCGGUGUUGUAAAGGGCUUAAUUAAUUAGGGGGCGUGCGACAACAAUUGGGUUCAGGUGUUGUAGAAAAUUGACUUAAUUAAUUAGAUAAGAUUCUAUUGGUUCUUGCCUAUUAAGGCUUUUUUCAAACUAAAAUAAAUAUCAUAUAUUGUUGAAAUUUUCAUGCUCCCGCCAAAAAUAUUUUGACAAAUCCAUUUAUGAACAACGAUGAAAAAAAUAUUUCAUCGCUAAAAAUUUCUGUCGGUCUAUUAACAACGGCGAAAAAAAUAUUUCAUCGCUAAAAAUCUCAAUCGGUUUAUUAACAACGAAGAAAAAAAUAUUUCAUCGCUAAAAAUUUCAGGCCUGCUGAAAUAUCUUUUUAAUUAACGACGGAUCAAUAUACUAAUAACGACGGAAUAAAUAUUUUGUCGCUAAAUAUUGGUUACCAAAUAGCAAUAUUAAAAAUUAUUAUAAUUUGGUUGCUUUUAGCGACCACUUAUUGCGCCCGUCGUUAAAUAUUGGUCGUUAUAGACCUACUUUCUUGUAGUGUUCAUAUGUGGUAUCCAUACAUGAAGAUGACGAGAAAGUGUCUUGCAACUGUAAGAUGUUCAAUUAUACUAGUAUCUUAUGUGCUCGUGCUCUUACAGUGAUGUAUUUUGUUGGUAUCCAUCACAUUCCUCAAAGCUAUAUAAUGAAAAUAUGGACAAAAGAAGAAAAAUGUGGUAUGCCAAGCGACAAAACUGAAAAUGUAGCAAUUGUUGAUGCAUCAAGUGGUAGAGCACAAUGGCAUGAAUCACUUAGUUUAAUGUAUCGAAAAUUCAUCAAUGAAGGUACGAAAAACUUGAAGGCAUAUGAAGUGGCCAAAGAAGAUAUGGAAUUGAUCAUUAGCAAACUUGCUUCGCUUAACAAAGAACUUGAAAUUGUAGAAUCAUUGCCGAAUAACAAAGGUCUUGAACAUCAUAGCAUAAUUAUCUCACAAUCAAGUUAUAUAAAAGUUGGUUUAGAAGGUCAAGUGGCUAAUAUGGGUUUUGAAGGUCAAGUGGUUAAGGAUCCACCACAAUCUCAAUGUAAAAGUAAAAGGAGGCAUCAAAGAAUCAAGCUACAUGCGGAGAAAGCCAAAAAAUCACGGACUUGUGCAAAGUGCAAAAGGAAAGGUCAUAAUAUUAGAACUUGCAAAGAGGUAAAAUUAUAUUAUUGUUAUUGAUUUCUUAUUACAUCACUUGGUGAAAUUUUUGAUGAUUUAUUAUUAGAUGUCAUUCUAAAAUUCUAAUAGUGAAAUUUUAUUUCAGGAGCCUAUACAUGAGGCCUUGAAUGACGGCAAUUCUACCAGUAGCGAUGGAUCAGUUGACGGCGAUUCGAGUUUCUCCACAUAGAAUUGCAUGAGUGGCUAAUGUUAUUAUCAUUGAGUUUAAUGUUGUUGUUGUUGUUAAGACUAAUGUUGUUGUUGUUGAGACUGUUGUUGUUGUUGUUGAGACUGUUGUUGUUCAUGCUGUUGUUCUUCUUCAUGCUCAUGUUGAGACUGUUGUUGUUCAUGUUGUUGUUCUUCUUCAUGUUCAUGUUGAGACUGUUGUUGUUCAUGUUGUUGUUCUUAUUCAUGUUCAUGUUCAGACUGUUGUUGUUCUUCUUCAUGUUCAUGUUGAGACUGUUGUUGUUCAUGUUGUUGUUCUUCUUUAUGUUGUUGUUCUUAUUAUUCUUGUUGUUAAUGUUUUGUUAUUCAUGUAUUUACCAAUACAUGCAGAAGUGUAAGGACUACUGUCCAACUUCAUUUUGGAUAUAGGUUAAUGUUGUUUUAUUUUUUGUAGUUAAGGCAUUCUUUUUUUUUUUUGAGAGAAAGUAGUUGAGACUUUCAAAGUUGCAAUUGUAAUAUUCUUUUCUAUCUUAAUAAUUGGUACUUUUAAAGAUUCAAAACAAAAAUAAUCUCAGACAUGAGUGGCCCAAAUCUGGACACGGUGACUGCCAAUUGUUUAUUUGCCAUGUCUUAUCGAAAAUGGUUAGGAAACAGAACUGAAAAUAAAACUUCAAUAGUGUCAUUUCGAAUGAUUUGCGCAUCUAUUAGAAUAAACAUGAUGAUAAGCAUCAAUAGACAUACAUAUAGACAUAACAUCAAUAGACAUACAUGAUUGCAUUAACACCAAACAAUUAACCAUAUAGCACAUCUUUAACUUACAUAAUUGCAUUAAUUCUUAUCCAGUUAACAUACAUGAUUGUUAGAAAAGUACAUUCCAUUACAUUCCAUCGUGACCUCUCCUUAUCAUAUGUCUUUCAUUAUCAUACAGACUGCAAUAAUAAUAAAAAUAAUACAUAGAAAUAUAAUAAGCCCAACAAAUAUGAAAAUUUGUUUUCAAUAUCAGCUCUCACUUCCUUAAUUCUAUCUAAAAGUUCAUUGUCGCGAUCUUUUAAGGCUUGUAUUUGAUCAGCUAUAUUCGCUUCUAAAUAGUCUAUAUGUGGAACUGGCCAAUCAUUUUCAUAUUUUUUGUGCGAACUUUCAUCAUCGAAGGCCAUGCUUUUCUCAUCUUUGAAGAAAUAGAACUCCCUGAUCCAGACAGUUCUCUAUCUUUUACUUCAUUCUUAUCUACCCAUUGGAAAAAGUUACAAUAAUUCUCCUUAUCGUUUCGAUAUUUUGGACAGCCGUAAAAUUGCAUCCCUUCAGAACGUGGCUGACGUGAAACUCUUAACAUAGCUACUUCAUUACAUUUGCAGCGAACAACCCCACUUUCUUUAGGAUUUCCCCGAUAAUAUGCCAUUGAUAUUCUGAAAAAAAAAAAUAAAGUAUCAAUUUACUAAUAACUAGCUAAUACAUUGAAUCAAUGUUAAUAUUACACAAUAAGAAAAAUAAAGAACUUACAACAAACUAAAUUUUUAAGAAGAAGAUUCACAUAUAUAAUUGAUACUAUGUCUAAUUAUUCUAAUCCUAUCAAACAUUACUCUAAUUUUUUCAUUGUCAUCCCAGGAUUUAUUUUCACUUGCUGUUCUAGUAUGUCUAAUUAUUCUAAUACUAUGAUCACUUGCUGUUCAUAUCCAUAUAUAUAAAAAUAUGAUGAGAAAGAGAUUUGCUAUGGAAAAAAAAUGCAAAUAAAAAAAAUCGACAAAAAAGAAAACAUUACCAAAGGGGGACUCGCACGUAUGCCGUAGCCGGGGACCCGCACGUGUGCCGCAGCCGAGGAGGGGACUGACCCACAUGCUCGUCGCCGUGGGAGGGGCGGCCGGUAUGCUGCCCGCACGGUUGCCGCCGCAGCGGGGGAGGGGGGGGCCCUGACUCGGAGCCGCGGAGAGGGGGACCCGCAACUCGCGGGGGUGGUGGGGGGUGGGGUGCCGGUCGCCGGGGUACGGGGGUAACCGCGAUGGGGGAAGGGAGGCGCGGGGGUAGGGGAGCACCCUCGCGGGGCGUGGGGGAGGGGGGCUACCCACGCCAGGGAAAGGGGGAGGAGUUUGCCGUGGGCUACCCGCGUCGCGUGAGAGGAGGAAGAGGUGGCCGCCUGGGCAGGGAGGCUACCUGCGUCGGGAAUGGGGGGAGGAGGUGGCCGCGGGGCUACCGCAUCGGGGAGGGGGGGGGAGGUGGCCGCGGCUACCCGUGUCGGGAAGGGGGGGCGAGGUGGCUGCCGGGGGGGGGGGGGGAGGAGGGGGGGUACCCGCGCCGUGGCUGGAGAAGGCUACCCGGCGAGGAAGGGGGGAGGAGGUUGGCCGUCGGGGAGCUACUCGCGCCGUGGGAGGAGAAGGGGGCCUACUCCGCGCCUAGGGAACGGGGAGAGAUGGCCCCACGGGGAGGGGUGCACCAAUCGGGAAAGAGGGGGGAGGGGAGAUGGUGGUGGAUCUGAGUGGUGAGGGAGAAUGGGGAUGAUGAGGGGUGAGGGAGAAGGACUGCAUUAGGAAGCGUGCAGGUCUGAUUGGGGGAAAAGGAAAAAAAAAAAGAAAGGGAAUGGGGAUGGACUAACGGAAGGCUCCGUUAGCCUUCUCCUCCAUCAGAUCUGGCACACAUCUCAAAGCGAAUCUAAUGGAGGAGAAGUUAUGAGUAGUGCAGCUACUAUACUCAUAAGAGUAUAGUAGCUGCACUCCAUAUAUAUGUACAUGUACAUAUAUAUAUAUAUACAUAUAUACAUGCAUGUACAUAUAUAUAUGUACAUGCAUAUAUAUAUGUAUAUAUAUAUAUAUAGAGCCAGGCUNUAUAUAUAUAUAUAUAUAUAUAGAAUUAGGCUGGAAUACUAUUAAUAGUAAAACGUUUUUUUUGCUAUCAAGUUUUUAACCCUUGGAUGAAAAAUUGUAGGGUCAUGAUGAUAUUAGUCGGUUAGAGUUGAAUGGUCCCCCUAGGGUUGAGUGGUCCCCACUCGGUUAUAGUAUUUAAUCCAAUGGUUAGAAAUAAUGAAAAGAGUUGAUCCAAAGGCUAAAAAACUGGUAGGAACAAUGGGAUUAUAUAUAGAAUCCAGCUGCUAUACUAUCGGUAGCACGAGGCCUCCCAUGCUACCAAGUUGUUUUCGAUGAUGCAGCUUCCAAAUCGACGAUCGGCUCCGUUAGACUUAAUCUACACUAUUAAAAGUAUUUGGAAACUAAAUUUCAUAAUUUUUUGAUAUCAUUUGACUAUUGAUCAAAAGAUCUCAAAAUUGACCAUUUUAAUGGCCGAUGUGGCGUGUUUGUGAGUUUAACGGUGUAAAACAAUCCAAAUCCGAUGAAAAUUUUAUAAAAAAUUCUUUUCACUAUUUAGAGUAAGAUCAGUAUAUCUGAUCUUGAAUUUAAAUUUUUUAUCAUUAUUUUUUAUGAGAUUUUUAUUUUCAGCCGUUCAAUUUUAGACUAUUUGUUUGAUAGGUAAAUAAUAUCGAAAAAUUAUGAAAUUUAGUUUUCAAAUACUUUUAAUAGUGUAGAUCAAGUCUAACGGAGCUGAUCGUUGAUUUGA
rnacentral:lncRNA from 1 species